rnacentral:lncRNA from 1 species
CCUCAGUGGUGUCCAUGUACUCAGUUUUGCCCUCAGAUGCGAAUUGUGCUCAGUUUUGCCUCUAGUCCGUGCGCACCGACUCGUUCUGUGAACUCUGCCGUCUCUGUCAGGUCAACCUUUUGACUCGGCCCUUACAGGUGGGACCAGGCGGCAGAGACGGCCAAUUUUAUUCAGACCGUUGCACGCGUGGCUUGUGGGACCCAGCAAAGAGCCGUUGAGCAGAGAGCCAUUGGCGGGUGUGCUAUAUAAGCGGGCGACAACGGCGGUGACCACGGCGACAGAGAGCACGGCGGUGACCACGGCGAGAGAGAGAGAGAGAGAGCACGGCGGCGGGAAGCUAGCUGUGGAGGGCGCGGCGGUGGGAAGCUAGCAGUUGAGGGCGCGGCGUCAUUGAGAUCCCCUUCGGCUCCGAGCUCCAUAUCUUCCUCAAGCUCCCGCGCCACCUCGUGGAUGCAGAGCCAGGCGCGUGUGGACAUGCCUGUCUUUGUCUGUCCGCGGUGCCGGGCGGGCAUUGAUCGGAGGGUUUCUCACACACCGAGGAACCAGAAUCGUCCGUUCUACGUGUGCAGCAAGAAUGGGGCAAGAAUCGGGGCAAUUGCGCCAUUUUCGUGGUCGGGAUCUUUGAGCAAUGGGUUGAUCUGUUUGGUGUUCAUGCAGGUGACAUGCUUAUUUCAUUGGGUCGAUGCUCUGGCCAAGACUCUGAUGAAUGAACUGCAAGAAGAGCAUGAAGAAUGGUUGCGCAUGCUGCCACAAACGGCAGUGGCCGCACCACGAGCUCCGGAAGAAGAGAUGGAGGGCGAAGCACGCACUGACAGAGAGCUAGCUGUUGAGCUUAGGAUGUUGAAGAAGAAGGUUAGGAAGCUUGAAGAUCAAGCACUACCAAUACCCAUUUGCAAAUACUUUUGGGCAUUUGUAGGUAUGGUAAUCGCACUGGUUGUAAUGUUGAAAAUGUAUGGAAAGGCAUGAAUUAUGGAGGAAUUUGUAAUCUUGAAAUUGUUUGAGAAAUUCACCUAGUUUUAAUGUUGGUUAAAGUUGUUUAAAUGUUGAAAGAAAAGAGAAGAAGUGACCAACAUUUAAAUAUGUUGGAAAAAAGAGAAGAAAUUAGGAAUUCAGAAACUUUUGAUCAAUGAAAUGCAGCUCUCUGCUCUGCCUUUCUGUCCAAAAAAGGGUUGCUCUUGGGCCAAAUUCAGAGCGUAGAGCCAAGUGCAGGCUAGACUAAUGGGCCAACUGCAUCCAAUUAGGCCCAUUCGGGGGUUCUCUUGCGUAUUUUUCUGUUUUCUAUUCUGAUUUAAUUUAGGCAGUAAAUCAUAAUGCUAAAACUUUUUGUGGAAUCUAAUUGAAUUAUUCCGGAGCCAAACAAUUAAGGUUAAAAAUUUUUUGGAGCUGUUAAUUAAUCCAAUUCAAAUACACCGUGAUUUAAAUCAAAGAUCAAAAUAUCAUGGAAAAUGUGCCUCAGCUCUGGUAGAGGUUUACGCUAGGUGCCAAAAUAAAUGAACAUUUUUUAAGGGCAUUACAUUGAGAAAAACAUAAUUUGUCUAAAAAAUGAAGGGUAGAAAAUUCACAAAAAAUUGGUGCGGCUGGGGACUCGAACCCAGCACUGCGUGGGUUUGUGGUGUUUAGGGCUGCGCUGGUAACCGCUAGGACAGAUGGCAAGACUUUGACAUGGGUAGGGAAGGAAGGUAUACAUAGUGAGACUGUGAAUUUUUCUUAAAAAAAUAGUGAGACCGUGAAUGUUUGCACACGCGUGAGAGUGGUUUUCCUUUGUUUUGCACUUAAAUUUUGGAGGGUUGGAAGGUGGAAAAUGUAUGUUGCACUACCACAUGAUUUUGGUCAGAGUGACACUUGGUUUAUGGUUAGAGUGGCACUUGGUUUAGGAUUUAAAGGGAAUAAAUUUGCAUGUUAGUUCAUGACUUUUUGUUUGUAUGAAACAGAGGGCUUCUCACCCCCUCCGAUUUUCAUUAAUGAAAACCACAAGUUCUCGAACUUCAUGACUUGUUUAGGGAAGAAAUGAUAUGUUUGGGCACGGAUAUUUUUUAACACACAUAAUAAACCCUAAUAACUUAGAUAAGAUGGAACACACCGUACCAUUACAAUAACUUAGAUAAGUUCACGGACACAUGACGAAACAUGACACGACACGACACGACAUAGUAAAGCAACAAAAUAAAAAAUGAAACAUGACGAGCUUGACUCCGGGCUUGAACAUCUUCAUCUUGACCUCCUUCUUCCACCUUGGCCGCGCGCGCCCCUUCAACACCGUCUUCAUCUUCACACCUCCUCCUCCUCGUCGUAGGGAAGGGAGUGCAUCUGGCCUGGAGCGGGGAAGAUGCGCUCGUAGUUGGUGUAGAUGUUGUAGACGGUGAAGAAGAUGGCCUCACAGCCGCACCAAAAGACUUGGUCGAGGAGCUCGCGCGCGUCAAACGGGUUGGUGAAGGUGACCAUGAGCAGUAGGAGGAUGCCGCCGCGGUCACGAACCUCGUUGAGGGUGAACAUCCUCGGCGAGCCCCGUGGGAGGUGGGCAUAGCCGGCUCUGAGGAAGGCGCGGGUGAGUUCAACGGAACCCCUCCACCUUGAAAUAGCCCACACAUGGAGCUCCCUCUCCACGAGCACGCCCGGUGGGUAGCGCAGCUCCGGCACGACAGGCGGACGGUUGAAGGUCGGCUAGUUGAACUGCAUCUUCACUUGGUCUCGCUUGGAGAGGGCUCGGUCGCUUGGGUGUUUGAAGUUGGAGAGGAUCGGAUCUGGCUUGUGGGUGGGAGAGGAAGAGAGGCACUUUAUAGGCCUGUGGGUGGGAGAGGAAGAGAGAAAGGAUGAGAACAGUGCAUGUAUGAAUCCAGACGCGUGUGUGUAUCCGUUACGUUUUGCACACUUAAAUUUUUGCACGAAAACGAUGUUGCGUGCAUCUGAAUCACUGCAUAGCUCUUUGACCGGGCGGUGCAUGUGAAUCGCUGCCCUGAACCACCUAGCUCGCCUAGCGUGCCUCGCUCGCCUUGCUCGCAUGCAUGCACGUCACCGCCUCCCGCGCAUGCAAACCCACGUCGCCGCCUUCAUGCAUGCAAGGCCUGGAAAGGCUGAGAUGGGCUAUUUACUGCGGUCUCAGGCCCAGACAACGAGACGGCCCAACGGUCCAUCUAGCGCGCCCGCUAUUUGUUAAAAAAACAAUCUCCUGGCCAAUCAGAUUGCAUCUCGCGGAUCGCCCCCCUCCUUCCCGCAGAUUCCUUCUAGAAGGGUUAGAUCGACGGCCCUUGAUCGCCGCUAGGGUUAGAUGAACGGUCCUUGUUCAGCGUUAGGGUUAGCAGGGUUUGGGAGGGGUUUGGAGUAGUCAAAGCUAUGUUUGACCAGAUUUCAAGUGAGCAUAAUAAAUUAAAUAAAAAUCAGGAAAAUAAAAAACAUGUGCACAUAGUCUUCUUAUGUCAUAUACUAACGAUUUAAGUUGAUAAACAAGCUUUACAUACAUUUAAAUGACAAGUUCAUGUGUAUUGUAUGAUAUCUCGAGUAUCUCAAACUCUCUUGUACGAAGUGAAGAGAAGUGUUUUGGGGAAAUGAACAUGAAAAUUUCAAAAAACUCACCACAGCUUCAUUUUGGAGUGACUAAGAAGGAUCCAGGCUUAGUUUUUCAUUUUGAUGUUUUACACUUGUUUAAAUCUUGGUCAAAGUUAAGUUUGACCAGAAUUCAAAUGAGCAAAACAAAUUAAAAAAAUCAAAAAAUAGAAAAACCAGCGCACAUAGUCUGUAUAUAUAGAAUAUAUGUGUAGGAAAGUUAUUUGGCUGAUUUAGACAAGGUCGAAAAAAACCUUGCUUAGAAAUGAGGCCGUUUACCCUACCUUUGGACCCCUCUUUUUAGCACAUUUUUCAUGAAAAUUUUAAAAACCUCACCACAACUUCAUUUUGGAUUGACUAAGAAGUAUCCAGGCUUAGUUUUUCAUUUUGAUGUUUUAGACUUGUUUAAAUCUUGGUCAAAGUUAGGUUUGACCAAAAUUUAAAUGAGCAAAACAAAAUUCAAAAAAUUCAAAAAAAGGAAAACCAUGUGCUCAUUCAAACAUCAUCCAACAGAUAUUUAAACAUCAUGUCAAACAUACUUCUAACAUAGGUCCAACAUCAUCCAACAUAAAUACAACAUGUCAAGUGAUAAAUGUUUCAUAAUACAACAUCAUCCCUUAUUCAUAAUGUUUCAUAAUUAUUCAUAGAUAGCGUUGGGGCUUUUGUCUGUUCCUUGGGCUUCUUGCCAUCACUUUGCUCCUCGUGCACCUUGUGCUCAUUGUUUCUUCUCUUCUUCUCUUGGUUGUCGGUACCUUGCGCGUCUUCUUCAAACCUACCAUAGAGCUGUGCAAAACAUAAACGGUAAUGAGAUCAUGUCAAGUGAUAGAUGUACAGUAGUAUUUGACCCUUGCAAGAUUUACAUACCUAGCAGAACUCACAACAACAGAAGGUUGGUCACCAUUUGAAGCCUCACUUGGAUCAUCAUUUGGAGUCUCACUUGGAUUACCAUGAUCCCAUUUAGAGCCUCACUUGGAUCACCAUUUGGAGCCUCACUUGAAUCAUUAUUUGUAGGAUAUUUUGGAUCAUCGUCAAAAUCAUGCGGCUGUUGACCAUCAUCAUUUGGAACCUCGUCAAAAUCCUCAUCUCAUGCAACCGGCUGUUGACCAUCAUUUUCAUCAUCUGUUGAGGCAACCGGCUACUGACCAUCAUUUUCAUCGAAGCCUUCAUCGAAACUCUCUUCGAAUGCUAGAUCUACUGUGUUAUCAUAAUACUUACCAAAUGACCAGACCCACCACACCUUGUGCACUUACGCUUCCUCGCUCCAAGUCCAGCUCCUUCGCUGCGAGGUCUGAUUCGACUCUUCCUUGGUCUAUCUGCUGCUCUCUUCAGAACUGGAGCGCAAAGCUUGAAUCCAGGGUCCACCAUGUCCCAUUGUUGUUUUCCCUCCAUAGCAGGCAAGGCAUAAGCAUAUGUGGCUUUGAACCUUGCAACAGAGUAGUAAUCAUGCACAUACUGCUGUAUGUUCCCUGCUGGACCUCGGAGAGAAGUGAUGAAAAACAAGGCAUGAAUGCAUGGCAACCCAGUUAUCUGCCAUUGCCUACAACUGCAAGUUCUAGCUUCUAAAUCCACUGGAUAUCUCCAUUUCCUCUUCUCUUUAUCCAAAUAUAAUAUCUCUGUUGUGGUACCCGAGCAAAGAGUCAUCUUCAUUUCCAAGCCUGUUGUCUUUUGCUUCAGUUCAUUCAUCACGGCAGGGAUGAUAAUGUGGCCCAUGAAUUUUGCCUCGGCUAUUCCUGCACGAUAAUGAAAUUUCUGCAUGUAUUCUAUCCUUAUCCUGUCAAGCAAAUCCACCACAUAAUGACCCUUUAGUUUCCGGAUCGUUGAGUUGAAAGACUCUGCUAGAUUAUUCUGCACAUAGUCAACUUUGCUCACUUCACUGAAUUGGCUUCUGGCCCAUAACUUGGAGUCGUGUGUUUCCAAGUAUUUUUUCACUUUGGGAUUCAUGUAUAACUGCCUCAAGUGGUAGUUGUGCUUCUUCACACUACAUGUCAAAGAUGUUGGCCAUAAAUUGUCGGUAUACACCUUUCCUUUGAAUUUCUUCAUGAAAUUUGCAGCAAGGUGACGCAUGCAUUCCCUAUGCUCUACUCCAGGGAACACAUUGUCCACGGCCACUUCUAAAUCUUUGUAGGCAUCUAUAUGAAUGACCAACCCAUUGGGAUGUGCAAUAGCCCGGCGGAGAUUAUGCAAAAACCAAGUCCAGCUCUCCUCAGACUCUGUCUCCAGCACACCAUAGGCAACUAGAAAUACAAAACUCUGUGCAUCAACUGCACAAGUUGCUACUAACUGUUCUUUAAACCUCCCUGUGAGAAAAGUGGCAUCAAUAGCCAAAUAAGGCCUGCAGCCUGCCAAAAAACCCCGGCGACAAGCCUCAAAGCAGACAAAAACCCUCCUAAAGCAUUCCUUGGUCUUUGUCACUCCCCUGAAUGUGUACUCCACGGUGUGGUGAUCAAUAUCUACAAUACUAUCUGGGCUUGUCCUCUCCACUUCACCUUUGAAUGAAUACAACAAUUGAAAACUUUCCCGCCAGUUACCAUAAAUAGAAUCCAUAGCAUGUUGUUUACCAUUGAACAACCUCAUGUAUGGUAAAUCUAUCUUGAACUUAUCUUUGAUGUUCUUCUGCAAUUUCUUUGGACCCACUUGCUGGUUUUCUUUCACCCACUUCUUUACUUCUUCUGCCACCCAUCUUGACUUGGCUCUACUGAUUGUAUCCUUCCUAAGGGUUGAUUCCUGCCAUGCGUGCUUAAAAGGGUUCACUUUGACCUGAACAUUAGUGCUAUUCCGCAUUUUAGAUGCAAGCAGCCUCCAUGGACAACCCUCAGUCGGACAGUGCACUCUGUAACGUACUUGAUCGCUCUUGUCAACUUUGAAAGUAUGUUCUACCUUGAUGCAGUAUGUCACAAGUGCAUUUCUACACUCAUUCAUGUAUGCAAAAACUGUACCUUCUUCCAUAUGAGGGUUCAAAGGGUCCCAUUCAACAGCUGCAAGGUCUUCGUCCUCACCCAUCGCGUCAUCAUCCACACGGACUGCAUUGUGAGCCUCAUCUUGGUUUUCAGUCUGAGGUGCCCGUCGUAAAUUCCGAAUAACAUCAGAAUAUAGCUUCUAUUCAUCAACCCCAGAAUUGUAGCCAUCAGGCUCCACUUCAAGGGGGACCCUACUGCUGUUGCCCACACUUUUCGAGCCACCACGUCGCCAUGCACCAACUGAAUUGUUCUGGCUAGAGAUGCCAUUACGACGACUUGGUUCUCCCCGAGAUGUUGCACCCGCCAUCCUAGGUCCAAAUGCCCGCCCAAGCACAUCAACUUGCAGCCUCACAUGAAAAUUAUCUUUCUCUUUAUGCCUAACAAACAUGGUAGCUAGCUCUUCAUCAUUACUAACUGUCACCCAAUUCUUUUCCCCAUCAUAGUAUUUGUAUACCACUUCAUCAAGCAAACCCCAAGGAUAUUGGCUACAAAUUACCUCCCCAAAUUGUCUGAAACUCCAAUUACUAGCCAUUGGCAACCGAUAAUCAAAAUCUCCUUGGUAUUUCUUCUUAUCCUUUGCAUCAAACAUGUACCGGUCCCUUCUAAUGUGCACCAUGAAAGCAAACCGCAACUCCAUCCUAACCGGCGAAAAGCAGAGAUGCAAUUAGCACACUAAUUGAGCAAACCUACUCGAAUCGAGUGUUCAAAUGCACAACUAAGCUCAAUCUAAACAAGAGGCGAGACUUACCCCUCGGGAACCCAGUCGUGGACGCGGCGGAUCUCCGGCCGGAUGCCUGCCUCGCCAAAUACUCUGGGGUCACCGCUGCUCACCAUUUCGCCCUAGGGUUCUUCCUCCUAGUUCAAAUAGCUCCAGCAGCCCCCCACCUUUGAGCGCUCCGGCCGGGCGCACGGAAGGAGGCCGCGCCGCGGAUCGAGCAGGUGGCGGGCGCCCCACCCGUGGCGUCGUAGGAAGGUGGUGGGCGUUGAAAGUGCGUUAUAUCGACUAGAGGGGGGGUGAAUAGGCGAUUUUUAUGAAAGUCUUCAAAACGUGAGAGUUAUGAAGACAAACAGUGAAGAUUAUGCCUAUUACUAUGCAGCGGAAGUUAGAUUACACUAGGCCAGCCAUGGUCAUGUAUUCAAUAGAGAGAAAGCACAAUGACAAACAGCUUCAGUGUAAUAAGGAUCAGGUAGGAAGAAAUUAUGAAGCCAAACAGAUCAUACAUUCACGUUGUGAAGACAAAAGAUAAAGCAAGAAUGCAAUGGCUUCACAAUGAGUAACAGUAAGAAAAAGGAAGUGAAGAUGAAACCAGUGACUCGUUGAAGACAAUGAUAUGUUGGACCAGUACCAGUUGCUGUGACAACUGUACGUCUGGUUGGAGCGGCUAGGUAUUUAAACCUUAGGACACACAGUCCCGGACACCCAGUCCUGAACACACAGUUCAGGAUACCAAGUCCUCACCGUAUUCUCCUUGAGCUAAGGUCACUUAGUCCUCGCCCAAUCACUCUGGUAAGUCUUCAAGGUAGACUCCCAAACCUUCACAAACUUCGUUCACUGGCAGUCCACAAUGUCUCUUGGAUGCUCAGAACGCGACGCCUAACCGUCUGGAGGAUUCACAGUCCUCAAGUGUAAUAAGUCUUCAGAUCACACAGACAAGAAGACUUAGGUGAUGCCCAAUUUACUCUGGCUCUGGGUGGUUAGGGUUUUUCUCCUCGCUAGGAAUUUUCUCUCAAAGGCUUCGGGGUGGGUUGCUCUCAAUCGACAAAAGCCGUGCACUGAAAUCUGAGCAGCCAACCGUUUAUGGUUGUGGGGGUGGGCUAUUUAUAGCCACUUGGCAACCCGACCUGAUUUGUCCGAAAUGACCCUGGGUCACUAAGGAACUGACACGUGUCUCAAUGGUCAGAUUUCGAACUCUCAUGGCAACUUUACUUGGGCUACAAGCAAAGCUGACUUGUCCGACUCUGGACAAGAUUCGCUCUCAUUGUCUUCACUCGAAGACAUAGAUUUUUGAUUUAGGCAUCACUUCAGUCAUUCUGACUGGUUCUCCUGGACCCCACCUAACAGUACGGUGGUUCCUAUGACUCAACACAAAAGAAAAAGAACUACGAAAGAUCUAAGUCUUCGAGCUCCAUAUGCUUCAUAACGUGUCUUCUUUUGUCAUAGUCUUCAAAGUGAAUAUCUUCAUGUACCACGUUUGUCUUCAAUGUCUUCAUACAUUUUUAGGGGUCAUCUCUGGUAGUAAAACCGAAUCAAUGAGGGACUUCUACCUGUGUUUUCCUGCAAUUCUCACAAACACAUUAGUCCCUCAACUAGGUUUGUCGUCAAUACUCCAAAACCAACUAGGGGUGGCACUAGAUGCACUUACAAUAUCCCCCUUUUUGGUGAUUGAUGACAAACUAGUUGAAGUUUUCAACGGAGAAUAUAAAGUGUGAAGUUUGUAAAGGAUAGGGAAUUGUCUUCAUAAGUUGCAAGGGCUCCCCCUGAAGAUGUGCAUAUAAGUUAAUUUGCUUUUGGAAUGCAAAUGCACAUGGCAGGUUGUACUUGUGGAGAUCCACUUCAGCUUAUGAUGACAAUCCACUAUGCAUGUGAAAGUAUAUGCAGAUAAUGACAGGCAUAAUGGAAAAUGGACGUCUGCAGAAUGAGAUAAGUGCGGAAUUUAUCGUCGCACAUGCGGAAUUUAUCUUCGCAAACAGAGUGGCAAACGAGUAGCAGACGACCAUCGAGUUUUAGUGUUUACAACUCAAAGAACCAAAUGAAGCAAAAACAAGAGUUGUAAACACGAAGCAAAAUAUAACAAAUCAUAAGGCACCCGCCCAUAUUGACCCGCUUGAAGACUAUAAACAUCAUAUGCUUCUCCCCCUUUUGUCAGUAAUGACCAAAAAGGUUUGAAGACAUAGAGUUUUCUACGCGUUCCCAGGCGCAGCAGGGUCGGUGGAGUUGUUUGGCGGUGCAGAGCUUGGAGGUGCUGAAGCAGGUGGCGGUGAUGUAGCAUCGUCAUCUUCAUCAAUGAUUCUGGCAGUGACUGUGGCAGUAGAUGAAGAAAACUCAGAGUCUUCAAGUGAUGGUGUGUUGCGCAUCACAGCCCUUCUAGGAGGUGUGGUGUCAAACUUGAAGCGCUCUGUGAAGCCAUCUUUUCAAGUUCAGCUUCAGUGCAUAUCAUUGAGAGCCCUUUCCAUGUACGACGGCACGUUUCAUGUGUAACGAAAGCAUUCUUGGUGGCUAGGUUUCGAAGACUAUUGACAUCCACCAAGAGGCUCUUCAUCUGACGCUUUAGCCAGUCGUGAUGCCUAUCUUGCUUUUGGUGAAGGGCCACAAGAAUCUCUCAGUUAGUGAGGACACGAGCACGCUUCUUGGGUCUUGGAGCAUUUGUGCUGUCUGUGGCUUUAGUAGAUGCUGGUGCACGUGUAGUGCCAGCCAACGGAUAUAUCCUGGAUAUGGCUUCAACACCUUCAACAUUCUGCGUGAGGCUCUGGUGUUCUGCAUUCUGAAGACUUAUCGGUUGCUUGGCAGGCUCAGGAUAUAUUGCUUCAGCAGAGGUAUCCACAUCUGGCAAGAAGAUCCGAUGGUUUUCGGCAGAGGGCUGAUACGAGAUCGCAGAGUGCAGUUUGAUCAGCCUCAUCACCCAAGGAGCAUAGAACUUCAAACCAAAUAAUUCUGAGCCUGACGCUGCAAGUUGGCGUAUGAAGAGAUCCUGUGCGUUGAAGCAUUUGCCAUGCAGGAUAUAGAAUAUGAGAGUCUUCAUUGCACCCUCAAUCUUGGCAUGUGGAGAGUGUCCCUUAAUAGGCCAGAGAGUCCACCGGAUGAUGUGAUAUAUGGUCCUGGGCAGGUACUCUAGGUCUUCAAUGAAGAACUCAGUAGGAUAGGGUGCAUCCUGAGGCAAUGGCUUCAUCAUUGAGAGCAUCUGACUCAUAUUGGGUUCAGGCCUCUGGAAUAUGCUCUCAAUAGCUUCAGAAUGUAGUUGACAGCCUUCCUCGAAGAAUUCGCCAGGAGUGGGCAGGCCGGUGAGCUCAAUGAUAUCAAAUGCAUUGGCUUCAUGAUGGACAUUGCCGGUCAUCCACUCUAGGACCCAAGUCUUCGGAUCUCUGUUGUAUCCUUUUAUAUGGAGGGUGGCAUAGAACUGAAGCAGAAGCACUUCAUUCCAGUGCUCUUCAUCAGUCACAAACGGUAGCAGACCCACUUGCUUGAAGCAAUCCAAGGCUUCCUCAAGACAUGGCAGACCAGCAAUGGCUUCAACCUCAAGGCGCUUGUGCGGGAAGAUGCGACCUUGGUUGUAUAAGAUGCAUGAAUAAUAGCUGCGCUGAGAAUAGCUCCAGAACCUGUCUGAUACAAUCCUUUCCCUUGAAUAGGGGUUCUUGGAGCUGUUGAAAAAUGUAUGGUCUGCCUUGAAGCUGUUAAUAUCAAAGGAGCCAGGUGCUGAUGCAGGACCUGGGAACCUUGGAAGCCUUGGGACUGGCUUCUGUACAUGAGGCCUGUGCUCAAUAUGAUAAUCAAACUGUGGACCUGCAACAGACUCAGGAACAAAAGUCUCUGGCUCAGUAGCUUCGCUGUCCGCUGAAGCAUUUGGUGGGGCAGGCUCCACAUUGGCUUCAGUGUUUGUGGUGGCAGCCUCAACAUUUUCUUCCUCCGCUUGUGUAGUUGGAGGAGCAAACUCAGGCACCACGUUCUCCUGGAGAACUGCAUCUUGAUGGAGCGGGGGAGUGGGUUCUGGUGGUGCUUCUUCAUUGUCUUCGGCUGAUGCAGUCGGAAUUUCUGCAGUAUGGACUUGAGGCCUAGGACCUUUGUGAAGCCUACGGAACACAGACGACGCUUGUGGGGUUGGAGUGGGCUGGGCCUCAAGGUCUUCUUCCUCCUGAGGGCGAUCCGCCCAUGACGCAUCUUGUGCCAUUGGCGUCAGAGGACGACCAAUGCUGAUGAGUUCGCUUGUUUCAAGCUGAGGAAGGGCUGCAUCAUCUUGUACAUUGUCUUGGUGACCAAUGUCUUCAGCAGCUAUGGGGUCGGCUGCUGGAAUAUCUUCAGCUUCAGGAGCCUCUGUGGGAGCAGGCUCAUGAACUGUCAGUCGUCUUUCUGCAUUGGGGUGAAUGACAGAGAGGGGUUCAACCAUCAAGGGCUCUGUGGGAGCAGCCCGAGAUUUCUUGAUCUUGCGCUUCUUUUUGCUGGGGGCAGUGGGAGAGGCUUCAGAGCUCUUCCUUUUUCUGGCUUCAGCCUUUGCAGUUUUUGUCUUGUUAAGCUCUGAAGCUGUUGACCGGCUCUUUGGCUUCGAGCCAGUCGUUGCAAUGGGGAAAACAAUUUGAACCGCUUCUUGCCUAGGUGCCUCUGGUUCAGCCAUAGCAGGCUUCUUCUUCUUCUUCGCGGCCAUCUUGGGGUCGAUGCCUGGACGCCCAAGUGCCUUGCGCUUUUCAGCCUCGUUGUAGGCUUGAACACAUCUUUUUGCCAAAGACUUCAUCCGCUCACGUGAGCCCUGAGCUUCUGCAUGCUUCUUCAGAAAAUUUUCUUUGAGCUCAUGCAGCAUGGUUUUGAAGCUCUUCACUUCCUGCACGCUGAGCCUGGCCAUGUGCUUCUUGAACUGAGCCUUUUCGUGAUCAAUUUUCUGCUUCAGCUCAACAAUACGCUGAGCAAUGGCCAGUUCUGAAGCAAUUGCGCCUUGGAAGGCAACACUAAGGCCAACGGGCAGCUACAGAUCAUUGAAGCUUAUGUCUGGUGUGUCAAACCAUUCGUCGAUGAAGCUGUGGAUGAUGGCGACAUCAAAGAGAGGCAAAUUGUUGAAGAUUUCAGCUUCUUCUUUGCUUUUGAUGAGCUGCUCUAGAGCGUCAUCUCCAAGUUCUUCAUCACUUGAUAGAUCUAUGGCUUCGCUGCGCAGAAUGGCAGCAGCUGUGAGCUCUUUGCCUGUUUGUUGCUGGGGCUCCUUUUCCUUCUGGGGCUUGGAGACGCGGGAUACGUCUUCAGACUGCACACUGACUUCAGGAGGUGCAGUUUUCAAUGGCUUCGCCCUUGAGAUUUUUGAGGCAGGGGCCGGCUUUGAAGCUUUUGGUUUCUUCGUCUGCUUUGGCUUUGGCACAGCAGGAGCUUCAUCAGACUCAGAGUCAGCUGGAGGGUCAUUCACGGUAGCCCUUUGGACUAGGAUGUAGGUGAUGAGGCCCUCAAGAUUGGCAAACGGACCGAUGAUAUUGGGUUCUGCAUCGCGUGUGCCAUCUGCCCUUGGUGUAGAGGGGCCAGGGUUGAAGUCUAACCCAUAUUUCUUCUUGUCCUGCUUCGCUGACUGUUGGGCAAACUGGUAGUUGCACUUGAAUAGAUUGUCGUCACGACACCAGAGAAGUGACGACGGAUGUGCAUCAUCAGGCUAUGGUCCUCGGACCAUGCAUGGGUAGAAGCCUUGAGCAAUGGCUUCAUCUCUGGUCCUGGGUACAAGGUUCUUGUAUAAGAUAUCCCCCCAUAGCCUCUUGAUAGCACUCUUUUCAGCAUACUCCUGGGUGACGAAGCGGUAUUUGAACCACUGUUCUGCCCAAUAGCGUCGAAUCCAUUGGAUUCGGGUCUUGCGCUGCCCAUAGCUCUCUUCUGGAUCUGUUUUGUACAUUUCUGCCAAGUCUUCAGGCAGAUCUUUGGAAGUAAUCUCACGUCUCUGUCUGCCCCCCUUCCUUGCUGCUGCUUCUGAAGCCAUAAACUUUAACUUGAAAGGCUUCAAAACUUUCAAAGGCUUCAAAGGCUUUCUUUUUCUGGACCAAGAGGAACUGGAUCCAGGAGAGUUUAUGUGAUCCAGGAGAGUUUAUGUGAUGCUGAAGGUGCGAGGGAAGGGGAAGAGGUCAUAUGCAUUCUCAGAAGGUUUUGAAGAUUAAUUAGUUUAGAAGACAUUGACCUCAUCGUGCGAAGACAUUCACUCAUAGAUAAGAAGUUGGUUCCAGAUUUGUACGAACCCACAGAUCAGUACAAGUGAGGAAUCUAACUACUUUAUGAGGCACAAGUGAAUAUACUAGGCAUGUUAUGAGAUGCAGAUUGAGAGAUCUAACUUGUGUGAAGACAAACUUCUUAUGGUAGAAAGUGACAGAACCAUAAGAUCAGAAGGGGCUGUAAAAAGAAGUUUUAUUUACCACACUUAGAACUGCUAGACGGAAGUGGGAGUUGAUGCCGAGCAGUUCAGUCCUCCGUGCCCUAACUUGGCGACGGAAAACACCUACGGCGACGGCGGAGAGGACGAUGUCCGCGGUCGGCGUGAGGACGACGUUGGAGAGGUUGCGGCAGCGAAGCGCUUCGUCUCCGGCAUCGUCAAGUGCUAGCGGUGGCGCUAGGGUUCGUGCAAGGGUGGAAGAAGGAGAUAAUGACCGCGGUAAGUGUGAAUUUAUAGGCUCAGGGGCGGCACUGUGCUAUUACACAGGUGCCCCUGGCGGUUCGCAUUUGAGGAACGCGUGGCCAGUUAGCGGAAGUUUGGGGUUUGUUCCACGUCCCACGCACGCCUAAAUUGUCGGGCGGUCGUUCCUGCUUCUCCGGAUUUUAUGUGGAGGAAUGAGCAUUAAAAACGGACUUUGUGGUUAUCUCUAUAUCUUCAGCUGACAAGGACACAGUGAAGACAUUCGACAGUUUCGAUAGAAUGCAUAUGACUUGGAGAGAUAGAAUUUGAGAUAGAAAGCAUAGAGAGAUUAGGGUCCGAUCACAUUCACUUAGUUCAAAAGAUUCAACCAAGAAGACAUAGCUAUAAGUGAAUGCUGUAGAGGACAGAACACUAGUAUGUAUAUAUCUAUAUAAUCAAUGUAGUGAAGAUAAUCAUGAAGACAUGUUGAGUUCGAAGCCAAACCAAAUGUGAAGAUAUUGCAAGGUAACGCCAUGAGUGAAACACUUCAAAAUGGAACGUUUGGUGGUGGCGUUACCCACCGUAUAGGAAGUAUUAGACCCAGACACGGCGCACAAUUAUCGUGGCGCUCCGAGGUCAAAUUCCACAUUAAUGUAUUCACACUUAGAAUGUAUGUCUUCAUUGAUUGAAGAUAUACUUUACUUUGUGUGUUGCACAUCUAAGUCAUCAAUAUGCAUAAGUGUUAGGAUGUGUGCCUGAUCACAGGACAUUUGAGGAUUCCAAGAUAUUUAGCUCACACCGUAACUUGCAAAACCUCUUCUCAUCCAAGGGCUUGGUGAAGAUAUCUGCCAAUUGCUCUUCAGUGUUGACGUUUAUGAUAUCAAUGUCUUCCUUCACAACAUGAUCUCUGAAAAAGUGAUGACGAAUUUCAAUGUGCUUUGUCUUCGAGUGCUGAACUGGGUUGUUGGCAAUCUUGAUGGCGCUUUCGUUGUCGCAGUAAAAUGGCACUUGCUUCAGAUGAAUGCCAUAGUCCUUGAGUGUUUGCUUCAUCCACAGAAGCUGAGCGCAGCAAGAUCCAGCAGCAAUGUAUUCAGAUUCAGCAGUGGAGAGAGAUACACAGUUCUGCUUUUUUGAAGACCAACAUACAAGUGAUCGUCCCAGAAAGUGACAUGUGCCUGAUGUAGACUUGCGAUCAACCUUGUCACCAGCAUAAUCAGCAUCCGAAAAUCCAACCAAAUCAAACUCUGAGCCCUUUGGAUACCAUAAUCCUAGAGUUGGGGUGUGAGCCAAAUAUCGAAGAAUUCGCUUUACAGCUAAGUGAUGCGACUCCUUUGGUGCCGCUUGAAAUCGAGCACACAUGCAAACACUAAGCAUAAUAUCUAGCCUAGAUGCACAUAAAUAUAGCAAAGACCCAAUCAUGGAGCGGUAUACCUUUUGAUCGAACUCUUUACCAUUGUCGUCAGGACCUAGAUGAUGUUUGACUGGCAUUGGUGUUGUGAAGCCUUUGCAGUCUUGCAUACCGAACUUCUUCAGGCAAUCUUUGAGAUACUUCUCUUGAGAUAUGAAGAUGCCAUUGCGCUGUUGUCGUAUUUGAAGACCAAGGAAGAACUUCAGCUCACCCAUCAUGGACAUCUGAUAUUGCUCUUGCAUCAUAUAUCCAAACUCUUCACUGUACUUCUGAUUUGUGCAGCCGAAGAUAAUGUCAUCCACAUAUAUUUGGCACACAAACAGUUCACCAUCAUAUGUCUUCGUGAAAAGAGUGGGAUCCAGGGAACCAGGUAUGAAGCCUUUGCUCUUCAGGAAGUAUUUGAGUGUGUCAUACCAGGCCCUGGGAGCUUGUUUGAGGCUAUACAGUGCCUUGUUGAGCUUGUAUACCAUGUCAGGAUGUUUUGGAUUUUCAAAGCCUGGCGGUUGUGCAACAUACACUUCUUCUUCAAUCUUGCCAUUGAGAAAGGCACUUUUCACAUCCAUUUGAUAUAGAAGUAUGUUAUGAUGAUUUUCAUAGGCCAGCAGUAUGCGUAUGGCUUCAAGCCUAGCCACAGGAGCAAAUGUUUCAUCGAAGUCAAUGCCCUCCACUUGAGUAUAUCCUUGAGCAACGAGAUGAGCUUUGUUUCUGACAACUUGACCAUGCUCAUCUUGUUUGUUGCGGUAUAUCCAUUUGGUGCCUAUAAUGUUGUGCUUCCGUGGAUCAGGACGCUUAACCAGUUCCCAUACAUUAUUCAGCUCAAACUGUUGAAGCUCUUCUUGCAUAGCUUCAAUCCAUUCCGGUUCCAUGAAGGCUUCUUCAACUUUCUUGGGUUCUGAUAUUGAUACGAAUGCGAAGUGCCCACAGAAAUUUGCUAGCUGAGUUGCCCUUGAACGAGUGAGUGGACCAGGUGCAUUGAUGCUGUCAAUUAUUCUGUCAAUCUGCACUUCAUUGGCAACACGAGGAUGUACGGGGCGAAGACUUUGCUCUUGCUGAUCUGUGUUGUUGUUGGGAGGAAUGUCUUCAGGCUGAGCAUUGUCUUCAUGUUGAUCAGGUGCUGAGAUGAUAAGUUCUUCUUCAGGAUGAGCUUCAGAAGGUAUAAUCUCUCCAGUUCCCAUUAGCUUGAUUGAUUCACUAGCUAGAAUCUCAUCUAGCACAUUUGGCAGUUGCUCUCUUUGUGAACCAUUUGUCUCAUCGAACCGCACAUCCACUGUUUCAACCACUUUGUAAUGGAAGAGAUUGAAGAUUCUGUAGGAGUGCGAAUCCUUUCCAUAUCCAAGCAUAAAGCCCUCAUGUGCUUUUGGUGCAAACUUUGAGGUGUGGUGUGGGUCCUUGAUCCAGCACCUUGCUCCAAAUACUCUGAAGUAACUGACAUUUGGCUUCUUGCCAGUUAGGAGUUCAUAAGAUGUCUUGUUCGGAAGCUUGUAAAGAUAAACAUGAUUGAUUGUAUGACAUGCAGUGUCAAUGGCUUCAGUCCAGAAUUUUCUUGGAGUCUUGUAUUCAUCUAGCAUUGUUCUGGCCAUCUCAAUGAGUGUUCUGUUCUUGCGUUCGACGACGCCAUUCUGCUGUGGCGUGUACAGAGCUGAGAAUUCAUGUGUGAUGCCCAAGGUAUCAAGAUAUGUAUCAAGGUCAGUGUUCUUGAAUUCAGUGCCAUUGUCACUUCUUAUGUGCUUUAUCUUGGCGCCAAAAUUGUUCAUAGCUCGAUUGGCGAAGCGUCUGAAGACAUCCUGCACUUCAGUCUUGUAAAGGAUUAUGUGCACCCAAGUAUAUCUAGAGUAAUCAUCAACAAUGACAAAGACAUAGAGGCAAGCAGAAGUAGUAAAAGUUGAGUAGUGAGUGGGACCGAAAAGAUCCAUGUGGAGCAGUUUGAAGGGUUGUGUAGUAGUCAUGAUUGUCUUCGAAGGAUGUUUUGCCCUUGUCAACUUCCCUGCUUCACAGGCACCGCAUAAGUGAUCUUUCUUGAACUUGACGCCCUCGAUGCCUAUGACAUGCUUCUUCUUCGCAAGGGUGUGGAGUUUCCUCAUGCCAGCAUGCCCAAGCCUCCGAUGCCAAAGCCAGCAUUCUGAAGCUUUUGCAAGAAGACAUACUGCAAGUUGUGGCCCUGCUGAGAAAUCUACCACGUACAAAUCACCUUUCCGAUACCCUUCAAACACUAGAGACUUGUUAGAUUCCAUUAGUACCAGGCAACAAUAUUUUCCAAACAUUACGAUCAUAUUCAAAUCGCAAAGCAUUGAGACAGACAUUAAGUUAAAGCCAAGGGAUUCAACAAGCAUGACUUUAUCCAUGUGUUGAUCCUUUGAGAUUGCAACUCUACCUAGACCCAAUACCUUACUUUUACCAGUGUCAGCAAAUGUGAUGUGGCUCUUGUCGGAUGGACGUAAGGUUGAGUCCAUAAGAAGGCUUCUUUUGCCAGUCAUGUGAUUUGUACACCCACUGUCAAUAAUCCAUUCUGAAGACUUUGUAGUCGCUGGUGUCGUACCCUACAGUGCAGUUAGGGGGAUAGGCUUCACGAAGGGAAUUGUGAAGCAAAAACAUUUGACGGACCAGUGGGUUAUGAAAACUUAGAUCCAGAUUAGGACUAAUAGGGAGAGUAGCAUGCGAUUCAGGAGCGAGGUACAUAAUGAUGCUAUUCGGGCAUUUUAUCUUGCGCCCUACAAGAUUUUUAAGGUCCCCAGCAAUAGCGUCAGAAGAUUUUGUUUUUCUGCUAGAGACCUUUCCCUGUAAAAGAGAGUUAAGCUUUCUUAACCACCCACAUCUUCAAGGGUGGCUUAGAAGCAAUAAGUCUAAGUGCAGCAUCUGAGAAUUUUGGCUUUGAAGCCUUAGCAAACAGUCUAGCAAGUGGACAAUAAUACUCAUAGGAAUAAGCAGAAUAAUUUUUGGUCAUAUGAACAUGACGGUUCGAUGAACCGCUCUCAUAUUCAUAUGCCUGAGUAUGGUUUCCCUGCAAAACAUUUGCGUUAGUGUGACUCAGGUGAGUCCUCUGUUUGUAUGAAGCCAUUGGACCAUAUGAAGCCUUUGGUCUGAGGUUUGUCUUCUUCAAGUGAGGUGUCAUGAAGACAUUCACAGGAAGAUUUUCCAGACACUUUUUCGGAACCCAGAUCUUCUUCAUAGGCGGUCCAUUCCUGCAGUUAGUACCAAUGUACCUGGCAAACACUUCACCAUUCUGAUUCUUAAACAGUUUAUAGUUUGCAUCAAAGGAUUCAUCAAUGAUAAUGGGGUUAGCACAAGUGAAGCCAGAUAAAUUGGAUGGAUCUGCUGAAGGUUCCUUUGCAGCAACCCAUGUGGUUUUGGGGCACUGCUCAGAUUUCCAGUAAGAGCCAUCUGCAUUUAUUUUCCUCACGAACCCAACACCCUCUUUCCUAGGGUUUCGGUUCAGAAUCUGCUUCUUGAGGACAUCACAUAAUGUCUGAUGUCCUUUAAGGCUUUUGUACAUCCCUGUUUCAAGCAAUGUCUUCAACCUAGCAUUCUCAUCAGCAAUAGCAGUGGUAUCCUCAGCAGAGGGGUUAGUUACCACAUCAACAGUUGAAGAUAUUGAAACAGCAGUAGUAGUGGAACAUUCAGCAACAGAAGUAGCAUUAUCACGCUCAAUGCAUUUAAGACAUGGUGGUUCAAAUCCUUCCUGAGCGGGACUGAUCUGUUCGGCGCGAAGUGACUCAUUUUCCUUUUGAAGAUCUUCAUGAGCCGCUCUCAAUUUCUCAAGUUCUUGCUUCCUUUGAAGAUAAUCAUAGGAAAGCUUUUCAUGAGUUGUUGAGAGAGUAUCAAGACGAUCUUCAAGUUCCUGAUACUUAACGUGAAGGUUUUUUAUGUCUUCAAUUAAGGAUUCAGAUCGAGUCAUUUCAGCACCCAACAGAUCAUCGCUUCUGUCAAGUAGUUUUUGAAUAUGUUCCAUAGCUUUCUGUUGUUCAGUUGCAAUUUUAGCAAGUGUUUUGUAGCUGGGUUUUGAAUCACAGUCAGAGUCAUCGUCACUAGAUGUUUGAUAGCGAGUAGUGCGUGUGUUUACCUUGGCACCGCGUGCCAUGAAGCAGUAGGUAGGAGUGGAGUCGUUCUUGUCAUUUGCGUCGGUGUCGGUGAUGCAGUCAUUGUCUUCAGUGUUGAAGAUGGACUUGGCGACGUAUGCUGUAGCCAGACUCGCAAUGCCAGAAUCAGACUCCACCUCUGCCUCCUCAGAUGCGGACUCCUCCUCUGAAUCCAUCUCCUUGCCAACAAACGCACGUGCCUUGCCAGAUGAGCUCUUCUUGUGUGAUGAAGACUUUGAGGAAGACUUGGAAGAAGACUUUGAGUAUUUCUUCUUCUUGUCGUCAGAAUCAUAUUCCUUGCUCUUCUUCUUCCUUCUGUUCUCAUUGUCCCACUGUGGACACUCAGAGAUGAAGUGUCCAGUUUUCUUGCACUUGUGACAUGUUUUCUUCUUGUAGUCAUGAGCAGAAGCUUCAUCAUUCCUUCAGCUUGAUCGUGAAGAUUUUCUGAAGCCUUUCUUCUUGGUGAAUUUUUGGAACUUCUUCACUAGCAUUGCAAGUUCUUUUCCAAUGUCUUCAGGAUCAUCAAAACUGCAGUCAGAUUCUUCUUUAGAUGAGGAAACAGCUUUUGCCUUCAAGGCACGAGUUCGCCCAUAGUUUGGACCGUAGAUAUCUCUUUUCUCAGAAAGCUGAAACUCAUGUGUGUUGAGCCUCUCAAGUAUGUCAGAUGGAUCGAGUGUCUUGAAAUCAGGACGUUCUUGAAUCAUUAGGGCCAGGAUGUCAAACGAACUAUCAAGUGAUCUCAGCAGCAUCUUGACAAUUUCAUGUUUGGUGAUCUCAGUGGCGCCGAGGGCUUGAAGCUCAUUUGUGAUGUCAGUGAGCCGGUCAAAUGUGUGCUGGACAUUCUCAUUGUCAUUUCGCUUGAAGCAGUUGAAGAGGUUGCGAAGAACACUGAUUCUUUGAUCUCUCUGGGUUGAGACGCCUUCAUUGACCUUGGAGAGCCAGUCCCAGACCAGCUUGGAUGUCUUCAAGGCACUCACACGGCCAUACUGUCCUUUUGUCAGAUGACCACAGAUGAUAUUUUUGGCAGUAGAGUCCAGUUGAGUGAACUUCUUGACAUCAGCAGCAGUGACACCUUCUCCAGCCUUGGGAACGCCGUUCUCGACGACAUACCAUAGGUCGACGUCAAUAGCUUCAAGAUGCAUGCGCAUCUUAUUCUUCCAGUAGGGAUAUUUAGUUCCAUCGAAGACGGGGCAAGCAGAGGAGACUUUGAUUAUCCCUGCAGUUGACAUAGCUAAAACUCCAGGUAGUUAAACCGAAUCACACAGAACAAGGAAGCACCUUGCUCUGAUACCAAUUGAAAGUGCGUUAUAUCGACUAGAGGGGGGGUGAAUAGGCGAUUUUUAUGAAAGUCUUCAAAACGUGAGAGUUAUGAAGACAAACAAUGAAGAUUAUGCCUAUUACUAUGCAGCGGAAGUUAGAUUACACUAGGCCAGCCAUGGUCAUGUAUUCAAUAGAGAGAAAGCACAAUGACAAACAGCUUCAGUGUAAUAAGGAUCAGGUAGGAACAAAUUAUGAAGCCAAACAGAUCAUACAUUCACGUUGUGAAGACAAAAGAUAAAGUAAGCAUGCAAUGGCUUCACAAUGAGUAACAGUAAGAAAAAGAAAGUGAAGAUGAAACCAGUGACUCGUUGAAGACAAUGAUAUGUUGGACCAGUUCCAGUUGCUGUGACAACUGUACAUCUGGUUGGAGUGGCUAGGUAUUUAAACCUUAGGACACACAGUCCCGGACACCCAGUCCUGAACACACAGUUCAGGACACCAAGUCCUCACCGUAUUCUCCUUGAGCUAAGGUCACUUAGUCCUCGCCCAAUCACUCUGGUAAGUCUUCAAGGUAGACUCCCAAACCUUCACAAUCUUCGUUCACUGGCAGUCCACAAUGUCUCUUGGAUGCUCAGAACGCGACGCCUAACCGUCUGGAGGAUUCACAGUCCUCAAGUGUAAUAAGUCUUCAGAUCACACAGACAAGAAGACUUAGGUGAUGCCCAAUUUACUCUGGCUCUGGGUGGUUAGGGUUUUUCUCCUCGCUAGGAAUUUUCUCUCAAAGGCUUCGAGGUGGGUUGCUCUCAAUCGACAAAAGCCGUGCACUGAAAUCUGAGCAGCCAACCGUUUAUGGUUGUGGGGGUGGGCUAUUUAUAGCCACUUGGCAACCCGACCUGAUUUGUCCGAAAUGACCCUGGGUCACUAAGGAACUGACACGUGUCCCAAUGGUCAGAUUUCGAACUCUCAUGGAAACUUUACUUGGGCUACAAGCAAAGCUGACUUGUCCGACUCUGGACAAGAUUCGCUCUCAUUGUCUUCACUCGAAGACAUAGGUUUUUGAUUUAGGCAUCACUUCAGUCAUUCUGACUGGUUCUCCUGGACCUCACCUAACAGUACGGUGGUUCCUAUGACUCAACACAAAAGAAAAAGAACUACGAAAGAUCUAAGUCUUCGAGCUCCAUAUGCUUCAUAACGUGUCUUCUUUUGUCAUAGUCUUCAAAGUGAAUAUCUUCAUGUACCACUUUUGUCUUCAAUGUCUUCAUACAUUUUUAGGGGUCAUCUCUGGUAGUAAAACCGAAUCAAUGAGGGACUUCUACCUGUGUUUUCCUGCAAUUCUCACAAACACAUUAAUCCCUCAACUAGGUUUGUCGUCAAUACUCCAAAACCAACUAGGGGUGGCACUAGAUGCACUUACAGGCGUCACAGGUAGUCGUGGAGCGUAGGCGCAGGGAGGUAGCGGCGGAGCAGGCCGUGCAGCUGGUGGUGGGGCAGGUGCUGGCCGCGGCGGAGGUGGCGGCGGCGGCGCAGGACAGGCGGCCGGGCGGAUGGGUGUGAGCUAGAAUGAUUUGGGGAUUUAGUUGCAUGGGCCUACAUGUCAGCACCGGACCCACGUCCACGCGGUCCCACGUGUAAGCUCCGGACCCACAACCACUAACGCCGGCGGACGGAACGGACUCAAAUAUGGCCGUUUGGCCUCGUCAUAGUUGUUGUGCUCGGACUAGGGGCAAAACCGAGGACAAUUCGCAUCUGAGGGCAAAACUGAGCACAUGAAUACCACUGAAGGCAAAAGGAUAAUUAACCCAAUCAUCAAUGCUCCUGCCACGGUACUGGAAGAGCAAUUUUUUGAAACAAGCUGAGACCUGGCUUAAAAUAAAGAUAAACAACAUUUUGAUGCAGACUGAUUUUUUUUCAGCAAAGGAUGUAUUUUAUUGGCUCAAAAUGAAGCAUCAAGAAGAUACAUAACACAACGAGUACAUACCUGGUCUCUGCAUAGCUAGAAUGUACACAACCAACACCAACUUACACACAAACGAAAACACACUGGCAUCUAGCAAAGUUAUAUAAAACCAAAGCUAUGUGUACGCAGAGAAAAAGAAAAAUAGCUCCAAAGCGAUCAAAUAUGUGAUCGACAAACUACAACAAUGACCAUCUCCACACCAACGAUCUUAUGACACCACAUAGACAAUGAGAUUCUUCAACAACAAAACCGUCGGGAAGGGAGCGACACUCAAGCUCCCUGAGCUAAGAGGUUAGAACUCCAAAUAUAACUAACAUCGUAGUGCUCCACAUAUAUCAAAGGUUCCAAACAUUUUUGGGUAGACCUACACAAAAGUCAAGACAUCUUGCGGCGAGCAGUAAUAACCAUGCAUCAAGACUAUCAAUCAUCAUGGACACGAAUACCCAAGCAUCUAUUCCAGAGAAGGUUUUUGCCUCAAGAUUCACCUACUUGGCUGAAAAAGACCUUACGGUAAAACCUAUACAUGGCACGUGGUAUUAAUUUGGGAUGUGGUGGUGUACAAACGCCUCGUGGAUCCAUUUAUUUCAUUCAAAUUUUUUGAACGGGUGUGGCAUUCGGUUUGGUUGGCUUAGCGUUUUUCAUUGCAUGUGGGGCAGGUUGCUGUGGUCAACUGUUGUCGCUGUCACGUUGAGAUUUGUGGCCUGACACCUUUCCUUCUUCGGUGCUUCUCCGGUCGAUCUGUCCCUUUCUCUGACCAAUAGCAACUGGGCGAAGCGGUGACCAGGGAUGGGUAGCUGGGUUAUAAGACGGCAAAGGAACAUGGGCGAGCCAGCGACCGCAUGCACGCACUGUAAUCAGAGCAGCAUGCGGUGCAGCAGUUGAUUACGAUGUGCAUGUGACCUGCCCACGUUCUUCUAUUGGCGGUGCCGCUUUAAUUGUUGUUUCUAGACCCGGCUUAUGUGGAUGUUUCCAGUUAAUGCUCGCCUCUUUCCUUCAGAUAUUUUUCUCUCUUGAAGACUCGAGCAAAACCUCGUGCCACCGCUGCACCGCCUGACCGCCGUACGCAAGUAUAAAACGCCGGCCUCUUUCCUCAUCGGGUCUGUAAGACAAUAAGUUUUUGGGAACCAGCACAACUCUCUAGGGGUGGCUUAUCUCAUAUAUAUAAUGGAUGUGUUAUAAUACGUAUAAUAUACGUAUACAAGUACAGAAGCUAUACAUAGUCUAACACCCUCCCUCAAUCUUAGCCACUUUCUAAAGAACUGAGAAGGGUAAGAUUGCGCCUACAAGCCUCAAACUGCAGCAGAGGUAAAGGCUUAGUGAAGAUGUCUGCAAGUUGAUCCUUAGAUGAGAUAAACUUGAUCUGAAGCUGCUUCUGCGACACACGUUCCCGUACAAAGUGAUAGUCAACUUCAAUGUGUUUCGUUCGGGCAUGAAAUACCGGAUUUGCAGAAAGGUAUGUAGCACCGAUGUUAUCACACCAAAGGAUAGGAGGCUGUGGUUGGGACAAACCUAACUCUUGAAGCAAAGACUGCACCCAAAUAAUCUCUGCAGUAGCAUUAGCCACAGCCUUGUACUCAGCUUCAGUACUGCUACGUGACACAGUAGCCUGUUUCUGAGCACUCCAGGCGAUCAAAUUAGAGCCAAAGAAUACUGCAUAACCCCCCGUGGAUCGCCUGUCAUCUGGGCUACCAGCCCAAUUGGCAUCAGAGAAGGCCGAAAGGACCCGGGAGGAAGUCGGUCGAAUAUGCAUCCCAAAUGUCAGAGUGAACUGAACAUAACGAAGAAUGCGUUUAACAGCAGCCCAAUGAGUAUCUCUGGGAGCCUGAAGAUACUGACAAACCCUGUUAACAGCAUAAGAGAUAUCUGGUCUCGUGAUUGUCAAGUACUGAAGUCCACCAACAAUGCUCCUGUACUCUGUGGCAUCCGCAGGAGACAAAAGCUCACCAUCAACAGCUGUGAUCUUGUCAGUAGACGACAUGGGUGUGGUAGUUGGUUUGCACUUCAGCAUGCCAGCUCGCUGUAACAAAUCCAAGGAGUACUUCUUCUGCGUAAGAACAAGACCAGUAGCACGAGAAGUGACCUCAACUCCAAGAAAGUAGUGAAGCUUCCCAAGAUCUUUAACCGCAAAAUCAGCACCAAGAGAGCAGACAAGAGCAUCAGCAGCAUACUGAGAAGAGCUGACAAGGAUAAUAUCAUCGACAUAGACCAAAAGAUACAUAGUGACUUCUGGCUUCUGUAGAAGAAAUAAUGAAGUGUCAGCAGUGGACGGCACAAAACCAUGAGCACGAAGGGCAGAGGCAAGACGGGCAUGACAGGCACGAGGAGCUUGCUUCAAACCAUAUAGUGCUUUGGUGAGACGACAGAUAUAGUCAGGAUGAUCAGGAUCAGAAAAACCAGGCGGCUGUUUCAUAUAAACCUCUUCGUCCAAGAAUCCAUGGAGAAAAGCAUUCUGCACAUCAAGUUGACGAAGUGACCAACCACGAGAAACAGCAAUAGAAAGAAGAAGCCGAAUAGUGGUCGGCUUGACGACAGGACUGAAGGUGUCCUCAUAGUCAAGACCAUGGCGCUGCCGAAAACCGCGAGCAACAAGUCGUGCUUUGUAACGCUCAACAGAUCCAUCCGAAUGCUUCUUCACUUUGAAUACCCAUUUUGAGUCAAUAACAUUUACCCGUGGUGGUGGAGGAAUGAGAGUCCAUGUCUUGUUACGAAGAAGAGCAUGAAACUCCUGCUCCAUAGCCUCUCUCCAAUGUGGAAUGCGCAUGGCAGCCUGAUAUGAGCGAGGCUCAGAAGAUGGAUCCGCAACAGCAGCAGCCAAACAAGCAGCCAACCAAGCAACCGUACCAUCCUUACGUUCCUUGGGUUUGAAAAUGCCACUGCGACUGCGUGUAUGUGGUCGGGACACAGGAACCACCGAGGUCGACGGAGCAGCCUGCACCGGGCUGGAGGACGACGACGUAGAUGAGUCGGCCGGUGACGAGGAGCCAGACGCGGUGGCCUUGGUGGCCUCGGGCUCAGUCGGCGUAGCAGACCGGCCCACAGGCGAACCCGGCGAGGUAGACGGAGCUGCUGGCGAUGCCGGCGUCACGGGCCGAGCCGAUGGCGAGCCCGGCAUAGUGGGCCAAGGCACUGGCGAGGCCGGUGCCGCGGGCCGAGUGGCGGGCGAAGGCGGCUGGAUGUCCCGAGCUGCGGGCGAAGGCGGCGUGACGGGCCGAGCCGCUGGAGACUCGGCGGCCGCUGGCGUAGGGGGCCGAGCCGCUGGAGACUCGACGGCCGCCGGUGUAGCGGGCCGAGCCGUGGAGAGGCUCGGCACGACAGGCUCUUCAGGCGACCAUGCAUGGGCACGCAAAUCGAUGCCAUGCAACAUAGGGCGAGCAACGUGCCCAUCAGAAGGCGUCGGUGAUGAUGGUGAAUCCUCCAACAGCUCCAAACGAGCCCCACGUCCGGUUCUUGCACCAUGGUUAGGUAACAGCAAAGGAGAGUAUGCAACAUCAUCAAAUUGGUCAGAAGCAACAGAGGAUGAAUUCAGAGAUGGUGGUUCGGCAGUGGACACAGGAAGUUUGGCAAAGGGAAAAACAUGUUCAUCAAACACGACAUCCCGAGAGAUAUAGACACGAUUUGUGGGAACAUGAAGACAUUUGUAACCUUUAUGAAGAGAGCUAUAGCCAAGAAAAACACACUUCUUGGAACGGAACUCAAGCUUGCGCUUAUUAUAUGGACGAAGGUGCGGCCAGCAAGCACACCCAAAGACCUUGAAAAAGCUAUAAUUAAGUUGUUCAUUAAGGAAAACCUCAAUGGGAGUCUUCAUGUUUAAAACACGAGUGGGAGUAUGGUUGAUGAGAAAGCAUGCAGUGGUGAAAGCAUCACUCCAAAACCGAAACGGAACAAAUGCAUGAGCCAAAAGAGUAAGACCAGCUUCAACAAUAUGAUGAUGCUUACGUUCUACUGAACCAUUCUGCUGAUGUGUAUGUGGACAUGCUAAACGAUGAGCUAUCCCAAGCGACUGAAAGAAGGAGUUGAGGUUGCGGUACUCGCCCCCCCAGUCCGACUGGACAUGAACAAUUUUGUGCUUGAGAAGACGUUCAACAUGUUUUUGAAACUGAACAAAAAUAUCAAACACAUCAGAUUUGCGUUUAAUAAGAUAAAGCCAGGUAAAGCGACUAUAAGCAUCAACGAAACUGAUAUAGUAAUUAUGGCCACUGACAGAAGUCUGAGCAGGACCCCAUACAUCUGAAAACAUAAGUUCUAAAGGAUGUUUCACCUCACGACUGGACUCCGAAAAAGGAAGUUGAUGACUCUUCCCCUGCUGACAAGCAUCACACACUGCUACAUCUUUAUUACUAGACAGAUUAGGAAGCUCAUGACGACGCAAAAUAUGACGAACAAUAGGUGUGGCCGGGUGACCAAGACGAGCAUGCCACUGUGACGGAGAGACCCGAACUCCACUGAAAACGCGGGCGACACUAGGAUGCUCCAGACGGUAGAGGCCCUGGCACAACCGCCCACUAAGAAGAAUGUCCCUCGUGCCCCGAUCCUUAAUAAAAAGAUCAAAAGGGUGAAAUUCACAAAGCACAUUAUUAUCACGUGUGAGUUUAGGAACUGAAAGAAGAUUACGUGUCACAGAUGGAACUCGAAGAACAUUGCGAAGCUGAAGACUCCUAUUGGCAUGUCUAGUGAGAAGAGAUGCUUGACCAAUAUGAGAGAUGUGCAUACCUGCUCCAUUGGCGGUGUGGAUCUUGUCGGAGCCAUGAUAGGGUUCACGAGUGUGAAGCUUCCCCAUCUCGCUGGUCAGAUGCUCUGUCGCCCCAGAGUCCAUGUACCAGUGUGGAUCGAUGGAGUAGGACUGAGUGUGUCCCUGUUGCUUCUGCGGCGCCGGACGAUCAGCCAUGGCGACCUGACGGGCAUUGUUGCGUGUAUCUUUGCCGUCAUUGCCAAGACCAAGGAAGCUUCGCUGGAAGCGCUUGUGACACUUGGAGGCCCAGUGCCCAUCACGACCACAAAGCUGACACACACACACGGACCGCCAGCCCCCGGUAAGGUCGCAGUAGGUGGGGGGGCGGAGGCGGGCGACGGUGGCAGCCCCAAGGGGGCCCGGGGUGAUGAAGAAGAGCGGCCACCCUUGGUGGCGGCGUUGGCCGAGAGGGGGCCAGUGCCCCUGGAGCGGCGUGUCUCGACCCGUUGCUCAGUAAGAAGGAGACGAGAGAAAACCUCGUGUGCCAGCACGGGUGUCGAGUUGCCCCGCUCGUUGAUGAUCUCAACUAAGGCAUCAUACUCCUCAUCAAGACCAUUGACAAUAAACGAGUUGAACUCGGAGUCGGUGAGGGGUUGUCCAAUUGAGGCCAAUGUGUCGGCGAGGCCCUUGACCUUGUUGUAGAAGUCAGUGGCAGUGGAGUCAAGCUUCUGACACUCGCCAAGCUGACGACGAAGUGCAGAGACACGAGCCUGAGACUGCGCUGCGAAGGUGCGUUCAAGGAUGGUCCAGGCCUCAUGAGACGUCUUUGCGAAGACAACAAGUCUGGCAACUGCCGGCGAGAGCGACCCCUGGAUGGAGGAGAGGUUCGCCUGGUCCUGCCCCGUCCAGACGCGAUGGGCCGGGUUGUAGACCGGACCGUGCACGCUGUCAACCAGUGCGGGGGGGCAGGGAAGAGAUCCGUCGACGUAGCCGAGCAGGUAGUGACUCCCCAACAGCGGGAGAACCUGCGCACGCCAGAAGAUGUAGUUGUCGGCGGAGAGCUUGAUGGUGAUGAGAUGACCGAAGUGAAACGGCGGCGGUGAAGACGAUCCCAUCGAGGGGGCUGCCUGAGGUGCAAGGACCAUGGAGGCAGCCGGUGGCAGCGAAGCCGAUGCGGGAGGAGGCGGGACCGCAGCCGGGGCGGACGCCACAAAACCCGCGGCCGGGGUGGACGCCGCAAGACCCGCGGCCGGGGCAGACGCCGCCAACCCCGCCAGCGGGGCGGCGAGAUGCGCUGCCGGCAGGGGCGGCAAGACGACGUCCGCGGAGGUGUUGUCGGACGGCGGCUCCGCGGUAUGGACCACGAGGUCGCGCCCAAGUGGGGGCGCCGGCGGAGUGGAGUAGACGGAGCCGAUGCUCCGAGUCCCGAUCGGGGACGGAACGGCGACGGCAUCCAGCGGGAGGUUGACCAGAGCCGCAAGAGAGGCCGGGAGGAACCCCGCGGCAGUGGAACCGGUGAUGGCGGCGCUCGACAUGGCGGUGGCGGCGGUGAAGGCGGCGGCGGCGGUGGUGCGGGAAUUAGGGUUUGGUAGCGGAAGCGAUCGUAACCUAGCGUGAUACCAUGUAAGACAAUAAGUGUUUGGGAACCAGCACAACCCUCUAGGGGUGGCUUAUCUCAUAUAUAUAAUGGAUGUGUUACAAUACGUACAAUAUACGUAUACAAGUACAGAAGCUAUACAUAGUCUAACAGGGUCACUGGAGCUCACCUGCGUUGCUGUGCACGUCUGCCAACUCCCAGCAGCACCUUACAUCCCACCUCGCCGUCGGUUCCUGCCUUAGGCUUUGUUCGGUUAAUCCUCUCCCCAAGAGGAUUGAAGGGGAUUGGCAGGGAUUGGUUCAUAUUUUGACUUAGAAGAGGUUUAAAUCCCCCUUAAACCCCUUCAAUCCACUCGAAUUCACCCGCAACCGAACAAGGCCUUAGCCGGUGGGUAGGAACCAGGCAGGAGAAGCAGCGACUGCCUGCAGCAAGGUGGUGCGGCAAGGCAGCUUGAUUGGUGCGUGCUAUGAGGCACUACAUGGGGUGUUGCCGCUAGAGCACGCGCAGGGGCGCGACGCGCGACGCCGACGUGCUGCUGGAUGAGGCGACGGGCAGAGCUCCGCGCAGUGACGCGGACCAGCGGCUGGGCGAGGCCGUAUAGCGCCGCGACCUUGCACGCGCGUGCCUGAAAGGACGUGCGGCGGCGCAGCUGCCCGAGUCGAUGGUGGCUGGUUACGGGUCACAGACACGGGACACGACGUCCUCCAACAUGAUGCAUGCAUGCGCCCUACACACCAGGUCGGGGGAAGUAAAGCGUGUCGCCGGCCACACACACAUUACCCCUGCUGAUGCUCGCGGAAAAGAGCAACGGCUGCGGCGGUAUCGCAACGGCGCCACAAGCACGUCGAGCUGCAUAUGAGGAUUUGCACGGAGAGAUGUAGGUGGGAGGCAUGCACGGAUAAUGGCGGCAGCAGUCGAGGUGCCUCUUCUUUGUGUGUUGCCUUCCAUGUCUUUCUAUCCAUAGCGAUAGCAUUUGCUUUUGUGGAUGGCUCUCCUUGCAGUGCAAUCGCGAGGCUCCCCCCAUGGCGUGUCCAUGGCGUUGUACACAGUACACCAGCACAAAGAGCAUCCCCGGACACUAGUUCAUCUACUAGGAGACGGUCGGCGCCGGCGCCGGUUGGACGGUGGACAAGGAGACCAUCGACGAUCGACGCUUGAGAUGGAUGAGGGACUGAAUGCGGUGUGCAUGCAUGGUAGAGUGGCGGACGGCUCCAUCGGGCUGCUCGAGAUCCGCGUCAUCCGGCCCGGCACGUCCGAGGAGCUGAUGGACUACGCUAUCUCUCAUGGCGCCUCCAUCAACCAAUACAAGGUGCCCUGGUGCUUGACGUUCCCGCCGAUCAUCGAGCUGCGCAUGCUCCACUCGCGCGUGGUGUCCAUCCAGUUUAGCCCUGCCGUGCGGCACUGGACCCCUACUCCCACCUAAAUUCACUUGCAAUUUUAGGGUAGCCAACUCUUUAUUUUUCAACAGGAGUCAAUGUGUGGUGUAUAACAAACGCAGAAGGGCUCCUAUUCAGAUUCUAGACUGAAUAGUUCUUCAAGAAUUACAUGGCGGGCGCGCUCCUUUGAUAGUACUCUCUAAACAAUGUGUGUGUGUUCAAGAAGCAGCGACACUUUUAGGCGAGCCCUUGCUUUUCAAUAUGAUCUUUGUUAGUGCGUAGAGUAUACAAAUGGACAAAAUCUUAUGUUCAGAAUUCAGACUGAACUGUUCUCGAGAGUUACAUGUGGACGUGGUCACACGGUCCAAGCGUUCAUGAGCUACAAAAAGCAUGACCAUGCUUCAGUGACGUUUACUGGUCGCUGGUUUUCAUUCUUUCGAAAGAAUAUACAGAUUUAGACGAUGUUUUGUUUAAUGUUAUUAAGGGUGAGUUUCAUUAGUGAGAAGCAAAAAAAAAAGAUGUCUGGUAUAUUUUAGGAUUAUUUUUUGUAUUUGUUGUGUGUUGCUCAUCCUUCUUUAUGUUUUGUAGAAAUGGUUGCUGUUGAUGAUGUUGGUGAUAUGAGAGAGAAUAUUUCUGGAAGUUCUAUCUCUGGUGUUGGUCAAUUUGGUGUUCCAAAUCUCAUUUCGAGUUCAGUCAUCUUCCCUUCAAAAAAAAAUUCUAUCAUCUUAUGAUAGUUUACAACGAGCUUUAGAUAAUUAUGUAUUAAUUUAUAUUCAAGUGCAUAGUUCACCAUAAUGACAUACACAGGAGCAAAGACACCGUUUGGACAGAUACAGGAAUUUGCAAAAGCUCUCUACCACUUCAUUACAAGCACUAUCCUAAAUGGGGCUACACUAGGAUGAUUUAACAGAACUAGGGCCAUCUGCAAUCAUUUACUUUCAUGCGGUUGCAUCAUCCUAUAUGAUAUGUUCCAUAGAAUGGGAUGUAUAUGGUGCCAAUAAGUAGACCUUAUUAGUAGUACCCUUCCGUUCAUCAGUAUUUAUCAUACAUGGCUGCAAUAAAUGUACUCCUUUUUCAUCUUUCAUUACUCUUUUUGGGUUUUAGUCAUGUACAAUUCUAUCAUUAAAAAUAUAACAAUGGUCUUUAUGGUCCGUAUAAAUACAAUGCAUCAUUGGGCGCGGCGUGCCGCCGCGCGGGCUAUGCUAGUAGAACAUACUAGAGGCACAACCCACGUUGGUUGCAUCAUACUGCCACGGUUUAUAUGCAGAUAAAGAGGCAUCUCCCAGCAACGGCUUUCCAACUCAAAAGAUAUCCAAUUAUCAGAAUCAUGCAAAUAGAUGUUUUUCAGUUGCUCAUCCCUUCCCAUCUCUCUGGGUUCAUGCAACACAAUGGGUGGCUUCUCUCAUCGGUGUUGAUGAAGAUUGCCCAAUUUUCUAGCUUUUCCACCUUCACCCACUUUGCAUGUUCACUCGCUAGGUUGAGGAAGAAGGCUUCGAACGUAUCUGCUAUUGAUGGAAAAGAUCGAUGAUCAUUGACCAGGAGAAGCAUAUCGCUGCACGCAACAAGCCGCGGGUGAGAAAGAUGCCAUUUGUUGGGCAAGUUUCCACCAAAAUCAACUGCAAUUUUCUGUAUUCAGAUCCAUGGUACCAAGUUCAUGAUAAAUAGCAUGCGGUCAUUGUUCAUGCCAAAUACAUGUCCUUUGAAGACCACAACCUUCUCGAUCGUUCCAUUGCGAAGAGAACAUCUCAACCAAGAGUUACCACCAACACGCCAAAAGAAAUUGUGGCCUCCAGUGGUAACCAACAAAUAUGUGUUGGGUGACGCCAGAGGAGCCGUGAGGGAUGCACGGUAGAGGAAAGUGUUUGCGUCGACCCAUAAUUGUGGAGUUGAGACACUAACACCCGUGAAGACAUCAAUAACAAGACAUGAUUGAUUUUGGUUGGACAGGAUGAGAUGGCAUAGGAAACACUCCUGGAAUAAGAACCUCCAAAGGACUUUGUCAGGAUUUACUCUCACCAAACGAGGAAACUAGGGAAUCUAACAACACAUGUACAGUACGUGUCUUGGUUGGCUAAAGUAGUGACAUAGCAUGAAUGUUUAGGUACGAGGCUGUUGCUAAAUUGGCAAGGACGGGGGGAGCAUGCCAGGAAGUCGGGUAGGAGGAAGAGAGAUGGCAAGACUAUCUGUUUACACGGAUAGGAGGAGAAGUCCACACACCAAGAGGAGCAGGUGGCAGCAAACACAAGAAGGUUAGGGAAGGAUCCCAAUCGAGGAACAAUGGAGUGAAUCAGGUCGUCCGGGAGGUCUGGCCAGCCUUGAAAAAUGGACAUACUUGAGACGGUAGCGACCCAAAAACAGCAGAUCACGGAGUUACAAGAGACCACACCUUGUCUACAAGAAAUUUUGAAUUAAAAGUAAAAAAAUUAGAAAAAUGAACUGGACAAUGGAUGGAGAAGCAAUACAAAUCGCCAACAAGUGGAAAUGGUUAGUGCACGGGUAACAUAUAUGCGCGACAUGAAAAACACUAGUGACAAAAUAACACAACAAGAGAUUGGGUUCACAUGCUACUGGAAAUAACAUUGAAAAUCAAAUGAGGUAUAUAUUUAUAACAUUGCCGCAGCCUGUCAUUGAUUACCUGAAGGCAAUGGAGAACAUGUCAUCAUGUAUCUUCAGAACAUGAUACUGAAUUACACUUUUUCUUCUUAGUAUUCCCUCUGUUCCAUAUUAAGUGUCACUGAUUAAAUCAACGGCACAUAAUGCGGAAUGGACGGGAACUAUAAUAACGACAAUUAAUAUGGAACGGGGGGAGUAUAUACUAGACCAAAGGGAACAGAUGCAGCUCUAUCCUAACAAUCUGUUAACAAUGUCCAGACAGCGUAUCAAUUGAUUAGAAAGAUGUAACGUCGAUGCAAGCAAAAAAAAAACUCUUACGAAAAAAAUCAAUGGGAAUCAAGAAACCUGGUGUCAAGAGAAUGCCUCGUGGAGAAGGCGUAUGAUGGAUCAACAACUAUGCGAUGAGCGGCAGUGCUUCACAUGCGUCCUUCUCUGGCGGCCGCUUCAAAACGAGGUUGUGUGUUGGGCUGGACUAAGGUUGUUGACAACAAGCGGGUGCAAUAGAGCCCAGUACUGAUAUUCUUGGACUUUGUUUCUUCUUUUUUCUUAAAAAAAUGCAUGGUAAUACGUGUCUCAUUCAUAUAACAAUGAUCAAGUUACAAGACAUGUAAACACACCUGAUAAAACUCAAAAGGCAGUAGAACUCUAGUCCUUGCACGAAGGACCACUAGCCCCCAAAGCAACACACAAUCAAGACCAAAAACUUCCUUAAGCUCGACACCAAUGCCCGUCACCUACCUACAACACCAUCGCAACAACCACCAAAAGAAAAGGUGAUAGAUCACCUCUUCAUCCGAGCUUGACAUUGCUCCAUCAUAUAUGUAGCUUUUCGGGCCUCCAAAGUAGCUUACCGAAGGCGAAGCCAUUGCAGUUGAAAGAAUCUAGUCGGGACAGCACCUCGGACACACCAUCAAACUCUAGAUCUAGCACCCCCUGCCCCGCUCGAAGAUAAUGUCAGCGUAGGAAACCAUACCCGGCAGCCAUCAACCACAAAACCAGCACAUGAUCAACUAUCUUCUAGUUGACACCAACCCAGAACACAAUGCAUCCGCCCCGGCACUAUCUCCCGGAGCUCCGUGUCGAUGAUGAAGCAAAUGGCAAUGGAGAGCACACCCAUCUAUAACUUUAAAACAUGAUACUGAAUUUUACCCUUUCUUCUUAGUGUAAAUAUAUAGACCAAAGAGAAUAGGUGUGGUUCUAUCUAUUUCUGAUAGAGGUAGUCUUAAUCCCCCUUUCCAUUCGCAGUCCGAGGAGAUCAAUGGAUCCACUUAUGAUUCCCAGUUUCCCAUCCAGUCUAGGGCCCAUAGCAGUAUGUCAGAAGUUCUUAUAGAAAAAAUCAAGUGGGAAUCUAAUCUAGCCCUAUCAAAGUACUGACGUGAUCCACACUCUUCUCGCAGCAAAUUCAAGGUUGCACGAUGGACUAUAGGUAGGAAGUAUAUCAAAUUCGAGAGCAGUUGCAGCUCUAUCUUUAGUUCUCUAUGAAGUGAUGGUUUAGUAUGUUAAGUUGCUUCUAAAGUUUCCUGUUUUUGAGGUUUAUCAUGUGUACUAAGAAAGAAUUCUUGUUAAGCCAACACUUGUAUCAAAACCGUUAACUUAUCUUUACCUAAUAUUAAAGGACGGAGACUUUCAUAGUUUUCCAUACGUUAUCUAUUUAUAUCCAUUGAUUCUAUGAUAACCUUAAAGAUUAACGGCUGAGAUUUAAGAUUAGAUUUAUACACUAGAAAAGAAGAAAAAAACGCUACAGGACAAAGUCCCACACCAAUACCAUGAUUCCACCUUCCGGUGCGCACCUGGUUCGGAUCGAUCUCAUCUCCCUAGCUAUCAAAAAAAUUCUGACUCGCACGCCAGCGUUUUUACUGUCUACCGGUCUCGGAGGUCGGAGCCUCCUCCCGAUCUGCCCGCUCACGGCGGCGUCGCGCCCACAGCCACUCCGCCGCCCCGCGCCCGGGGAUCGCCAUGACGGCGCAGCUACCCGCAGCCUCCUCCAACUCCAUCCUUGCUGUGUCACUGAGUCGGAUCAGAUUUCUUCGUGAAGCCAAUCGUGAGGAUCUUCAAGGAGGAUGUGGGAGUGACGACCGUGAUGUGGGUAGGCCGUAACCUUGGCUGGCAGUUAGCGAGGGACAAGCCAGUGGUCAAGCUCGACCGCCUGCACUACCUCUUCAAGCUGCUGGACAAGGACGGCGUGCUCCUCAACAACAGCGUGAUGACCCUGGUGCGCGUCGGCAGCGAGUUCGGCUGGCUGCUGGCAAGGAACGAGACUGUGAUCAAGCUCGACCGCCUGCAUUACCUCUUCAAGCUGCCAGACAAGCACGGCGUGCUCCCUAACUACGGCGUUGCCGACGCCACGCUCCUGCCAUCCCUCGACGUGCUUCUCUGACUCCUGCUUGUCCGCGCCUUCUAGGGCAUCAAGGCCGCCCCCAUCGGCGUCAGCAUCGCGGGUGGAGAGAAACAACGGCAUGCUCGCCAAGGCCAUCGCCGUGGGCACCAACCACCUCAUCAAAGGCAUCUUCAUGUGCAACAAGGCCUACUGCAGUAUGGUACAGACUGCUCUGGUCUGCUCUAUCCCUUUUGUUUUUUUAGGACAAGGCAAUUCCUCUGAAUCCACUAUCGUGCAGGUUCAAAACGUAGCCAACCUUAUUAGUCCUCAAGCAGCUGGAGGCGCGAGCUAAUGCUUCCGCAGCACCGACGGAGCCGACGGGAACAGCCAGGCAGGGCCGCUGAAGCGUGGAGUCAACAAGACCCUCGGAGUCGAGUUACUAAUUGUUCAUCAUUCAUUCAAGAGUUACUGAUUGUUCAUCAUUCAUUCAUUCAACCUAUAACUCAACUACUAAGUAACUAAGAUUAUCACUUUCCUCUUUGUGUGAGUUACUACUUGUUCAUCAUUCAGUCACCAUUACUGAUCUUGGUUACUCAGGGUGUGGAAGCGGUAAGAGAUGACAUAGAAGAUGAGCAAGACGAUGAUGGACAUGGUCAUCUGGGUGACAGGAUCUAUGGCUGCUCCGCUGCUUCGUUCCAGGCAAGGGAAAGCCCUCCUCGCCACCGCACUCGAGAAGACGUUCUGGUCUCUGUCAACGCCAUCAGUGAGUACAGUAGUGCCCUGGAAACACCGAUGGGACCUUGGCGUAACGAGCAAAUCUUUUAGUUACAUUACAUCAUUUCUGGUGCGGUGUACAAGAGGUAAGAACAUGAGCAUCUCAAGCCAUAUGAUACCAUUUCUCUAUUCGAAAAUAAUAUUAGCAUUUUGAACGCCGGCUUCGCCGGAAUGCCGCCCUGCUUGGCGUGCUCCCCUCGGGUAGGUCGUUGAACAAUCUCUAAAAGUUCUUCUAUUUAGUUCUUGACUAUAUGAGCCCGUUCCAAGCAAUUCUUGACUAUAUGUAGAAAAUAUUACCCCGUUACCUAGAAACAUUUGAAACAAUAACAGAACCUUUUGAUUUCUUAGCCCCAUGCUUCUACUUUCUAAAUCCCAGAAUUGACGAGUCCUUGGUUAGUUUGGACUCACAGCAGGUCACAACAUUGUGCAGUUAGACUUUUUGAAAUACAUCAGUUGUGGAAUACAAGCUAUUGGACAUUUGCACUUGCCUUAUGAGCGUGGCUGAUAAUUCUUCAGCAGCAUAACAUCAUAUAGAGGUAAAUACACCGCAAGUCAUGGAACUUGCACGCGACGGUCAGUUUGGUGCAUAAACUUGUAAAAUACAUGUUUCUGGUCAUCUAACUUGUCCCUCUGUUCAUAUACGGUGUUUUCUACCGUAUUCAGUUGUAUCAUGUGUACACAUGGCGCGCCAAUGUGGCAGUGGCCCACUGUCAGUAGUGGGUAAUCCGUGUGCAUGUUUUUUCUUCAGUAAGCACCCUUACAUUUUAUUUAUUUAUGCAAAAAAUCCUCAUAUGAAAUGAUAAAUACUGAACGGACAAUGGGAUUCGAACAGAAGACCUGCUACGAAUCACCUACCACUUGACCGACAUAUUGUUCACGUUCAUAGAGUACAAUUAGCUUUAUAUAAGACAGACUGUACGAGUUAAAAUAGAAACCUAAACGAGAAAAGGGGAAGACACCGGCUCGAACCUAUGACCACAUAAGCUCGCCGAGUGUGCGAGCACCAACCAUCCGGCCACAAUGAGUUAAAAAAAAAACCUCAGCCACAAUGACAUUUAAAUAGAUAAACACAAUUUAUCUAAUGUAUUCUUCUUUUCUUUAUUUAAGAAAAUUACUUAUAUUCUAGAUAAACAUUUUGGACAAAUCAACUAGAUUUUUGUUUGAAUUCGUGUAAUUUUAAAUUUAAAAAUCUAGACAAAACCAAAUAUAGCGCAGAAUGAGUGUACAUAAUUUUUAUAGACAAAUCAACUAAAUAUUUGUAUGAAUUCGAAUAAUUUUAAAUUAAAAAUUUAGAUAAAAAAUAUAGUGCAGAAUGUAUGUACGUAAAUUCUUUUGGACAAAUCAAUGAAAUUUUUGUUUGAAUUCAAAUAAUUUUAAAUUCUAAAAUUUAGAUAAAAGAAAUUAUAGGUGAGAAUGAAUUCACGCAAUUUUUUUUGGACAACUGAACUAAUUUUCUGAUUGAAUUUGAGUAAUCUGGAUAAAAGAAAAUAUAGUUCACAAUGAAUAUGCGUCAAUUUCUUUCGGACAAAUAAACAGAAUUUAUUAUAAAUUCGAAAAUCUAGAUAAAAAAUUAUAUGUAAAAAAUAAUGUACAUAAACUUUUCAGAGAAAUCAACUAAAUAUUUGUUUGAAUUCAACUAAUUUAAAAUUUAAAAAUAUGGAUAAACAUUAAUAUAAUGCACAAUGAAUAUACACAUUUUCUUGGGACAAAUUAACAAAAUUUUGUUUGAAUUCGAAUAAUUUAAAGUCUGAAAAUCUAGAGAAAAGGAAAUAUGGGUCAGAAUGAACGUAAGUAUUUUUUUCGGACAAAUCAUCUAAUUUUUGCUUGAAUUUGAAUAAUCUAUACAAAAGAAAUAUAGUUCAUAAUGAAUGUACGUAAAUUUCUUUCGAACAAAUCAGUAGAAAUUUUGUUUGAAUUUGAAAAAAUUAAAUCAGAAAAUCUAGAUAAAAGAAAAUAUAAAUCAGAAUGAAUUUACGUAUUUUUUUGGGAAAAUCAAAUAAAUUUUUGUUUCAAUUCGGAUAAUUUUAAAUAAAAAUCUAGAUAAAAGAAGAUGUCGUGCUGAAGGAAUGUACGUAAUUUUGUUUUGAACAAAUCAGCGGAAUUUUUCUUUGCAUCUGAAUAAUUUUAAAUUUGAAAAUCUAGAGAAAAGAAAAUAUAUUCAGAAUAUGUACGUUUAUCCAAGAGGUGAUACGCCUUAGUAGUCCAAAUGAAACAGCAAGCAUGAUUAGUUGCGGUGGUUAGCCGCUAACGCCAUUACAACAGUUUGCUUUUUCGAUCCGUCCCAUUUUUCCAAUCCCAAUAUAUUUACAGCAAAUACUGACAGGUGGGACCAAGUGGGCAAUUAUUGUCGGAAUGCUUUUGUACAAAGUAAAAAAAAUCAAGGGUGUUUCUGCAGAAAAAAACAUCACGUGUACUAGCCGCUGACAAUGGGCCCUGGCCACAUUGGCAUGCCAUGUAGGCAGCAAAUACACCCACAUAUGGGAAAUGUGACCGUAUUUGCACGCCUGCACAAGUUUGAUGAUCAAAAACAUGUAUUUUGCAAGUUUGUGCACCAAACUGACCGUCGUGUGCAAGUUGUAGGACUUCUAAUGUAUUUACCUCCAUCAUAUAUGCAUUGGUAACUUGCAUCUGUAAUAUGGAUGGGUCAUGGAUGAUUCUGCCAUUCGCCAAACUCAGUAAUAUAUCACGUUAUGAUGUUCUUUGUUUAAACAUGGUUAUGUACCUUCAAGAAUUCAGUAACUAAAAUAAUAACGGAUUAGCUCAAGGACAAAAUAGCAGAAUUACGUACAGUGAUGAAAAAAUUUAAUAUAUUCUAAAGUUUGCUCAGAGGUUAGUAUUGCCUCGAAAAGCUACAAACGAGUCAUAAGUGCCAAACUAAAACAAGGGUAAUUCGUGCACUUAUACAAACUGAACACAUUUUAUUUGUGAUGAAACAUUUAACUUGUAAGUUAGUAAUCUUAAAAAUUAGCAAAUGGAUGGUUAAAUUAGUAGUACUUUAGGAGAACCGAAUCAAAUGAAACUAAUUAUGUUGUGCUGAAUAUUCUGCAGUCGUAAGUAUUGAAGAGUAAAAUUGCAUUUUUCAUCAUCUCUGAACCCUAUUCUUCUCCACACUUCACAUACAUAAUGCCUCUUUCAGCUCAGAUGGCAUAGAGAAAACCAUAGGCUAGAAGAUCAUCAUGCAUCGACAUUCAACACAAUUGCAAUGAAAAUUAGGAGCAUUUGCUAAACAAAAAAAGCUUCCACAGUUCCUGUGUUCAGAUUCCGUGUCGCUUAAAUAGUGUGAGGCUAUGUCAAAAUCAUUAUUUCCCGAGCCAAGAGUGAUUAGAAGAAAUUACUUCUAUUAUUGUGUUGUGUCUGCAGCUGCACAUACGAGCAAAUCAAUUUAUGACGUUACAAACAAAGCAAUCAUCUUUUGUUUAUUAUAAGGUUUCAUUUUUCGUAGUUGUCUUUAGUUACCAGAUGUGCUAGAACAGCACACAACGUGUGUGAUUUGCCAUGCCUUUUUGAUUUCUGAAUUGGAGCGAGCAAUCACAUGGGUUUCUUGAGAGACUAAAGUAGUGGCGCUUCCAGCUUUAUGUCCCGCUACCCAGUUCCUUGAACCGGCUAACCCUUAGUGUCCUAAAGCGACGUCCCAUGACCAUCAUUUCUCAGCCGGGCCGACCCUCGAAUGCGUGUGAUGCAGUGGCUCAGUUCAUCACCUUGCCAUUGACCAUGUUCGGAUACAUUGUGAUCAAGUGGGCACCAUGGUUACCGCUGGUGAGAGUGCGAGGAAAAAAAAAGCAACGACAUGGGUCGGAUGCCAUGUUAAAAUAGUGAACAUGGUUUCCUAUCCUUAAUGAGAUCAAAUCAGUUCUGAAGAAGUUUGUCACUGCGCACGUCCAACACACAAGGAGGCUGCUGGUCUAGCUAGAACAAAGGAAGAUGCACACGUUAUAGGUGAUGUCCCGUUGGAGCUACGCUACAGAAUGUUGUCUGAUUAUCCACCUACUCCAUGAGUAAUUGUUUACUCAUUCUAAAAAAAUCAAGGAGAUGGACUUGUCAGGGUCUUGGUCCAUCCUUAUUAGGCUAGGGGUGUUUGGUUUUAUUUUCUCCCGUUGCAACGCACGGGCCCUUUUUCUAGUCUUUUAUAAAGCUCGUUCAUAUGUGUAUGUUCCUCAUGUUUACCAUCUUGACAGCGUUAGAGCUUAAUUUAUAUUUGAAGGUAUCCCCCACGUCACUCCACUCCAGGCAACACGGUGGAGAUGAAACUCUAGCCGCCGGUCAUCCGUCCCUUUCCCUUCCUUCAUCAUUGCCGCCUGAGGAGGCCUCCGGCGAAGUCCACAUGGUCGCCGAGGAUAGCAGCGGGAAGGAUCUGGCUGCUCUGCCUCCACGCGGAGGGAAGGGGACGCUGAGCCGGCGGCCUCUAAUGGCGUGGCGGCGCCGUAUAUGCCGCGGGCCGUGUCUCCUCAAUAGUACAGGUGGUGAGUGACGGGGGACUCGGCAUCCCGGAUUGUGCGGGAUCUGAAGGUUGCAUCCCUCCUCCUUGUUUCUUGCUCUUUCUCGCUAGAUCUAGCUGCCGACACCUGCAGGUUGCCGGACCUGUUGAUGGUGUGGCUGCCUGGAGCCACGGACUCGGACCGGGAGAAUUCCUUGCCUAGUUCUUCCUCCAGACAACACUGACAUCACCUGGUGUUGUUCCCCUUCUCGGAAUCGUCAUCUUGGUACGAUCCCAUUCCCUCCUACUCAUAUGUUGGGUGAAAACGUUUGUCUAUCCAAGACCGGGUGGCAGUGGCAUGGCAUGCGUCACCUUGUAGGUGCCACUUUUGUCUGUCCAAGACCGGGUGACAGCGGAAGCUGCACAUCAUGCUAGUUGGGGUUGUGCAGGAGCUCUGCGAGUUGGUUUGGGUGUGUAGAGUCUUCGAGGAAGGAGGUGAUGUUUGAUGUUUCGUCUCGCAAAAUCAGUGCUUUUAUGAUUUCCUUAGGUGUUUGAAGCAUGGUAUGUGUGUGCUUGCUCGUGGGUCGGUCGGUGCNNNNNNNNNNNNNNNNNNNNNNNNNNNNNNNNNNNNNNNNNNNNNNNNNNNNNNNNNNNNNNNNNNNNNNNNNNNNNNNNNNNNNNNNNNNNNNNNNNNNNNNNNNNNNNNNNNNNNNNNNNNNNNNNNNNNNNNNNNNNNNNNNNNNNNNNNNNNNNNNNNNNNNNNNNNNNNNNNNNNNNNNNNNNNNNNNNNNNNNNNNNNNNNNNNNNNNNNNNNNNNNNNNNNNNNNNNNNNNNNNNNNNNNNNNNNNNNNNNNNNNNNNNNNNNNNNNNNNNNNNNNNNNNNNNNNNNNNNNNNNNNNNNNNNNNNNNNNNNNNNNNNNNNNNAUCGGUAGCAGCAUAACGUUGCAGUAGCAUGGUCCUGAUGUAGGCGGGCAUGGUCUGGUUCUUUUUAUGAUUGACUCAGCUCCUGCCUAGAAUGUUUGUUCAGGGACCUCAACCUUCAGCAACUUUUUUCUUUGUGAUUGGAUCUGUGAGCACCGUUGUGGCUCUUUGUAUGGUGUUCUUAGCGCAGGGGUAAGUUUACGUUGAGAAUCUACUGGCGGUCCGGCGCCUUUGUCCAGGGCGAGGGGCAGGAUUAGUGAGGACUGGCACGAUUUGGUUUUCACUUCUCGAAGUAGAUGAGGUUGUGUUGCUCCGCCGUUGGGUUAUGUCUCCAAUUGAAGUUUCACUCUGUUUGCUCUACUCCCCUUGCGUUUUGAGGACUCCAUGGACAUUAAGCUAGUCCUUAGUUUUCUUAUCUCUAGAGUACUUGCUACAUUUGGUGUUUGUAAGCUGCUUGGGCAACACUAUGUAUCUGUCUUUCCCGAUUUGACACUGAGAAAAUAUUUUUCCUUAUUUAACACAAACUUUAAAUUUUGUUCUCAAUAUAACACUUUCAUCCAUUUUUCGGGCAAACUGAGUUAAAUGGCAUGUGAAAUGACAAUUAUGCCCUCAAACAUCUAUUCGCUCCUUCUCUUUAGUUCCGGUAUCUUAUUUAAGGGUGGGGUUCAUGGUUAGUGUAACAAAAUAAGCCAAAAGGUACUACGAAAAAGUACCGCAAGCAAGGUUCAAGUACGUACGUAAAUACAUGGCUAGAGAAGAGCGCAUGCUCGUUCUGCUGUUAGAGGAAAAUCAAUCGAGCCAUUUGUGUGUUUGUGAGCUAUCUUUGCAGUACGCGCGCUGCAUUUGAGGGGAUCGAUCCAGCAUUCUAAACAACACUCCACCACACGGGCUUGCCCAACUCCCAGACGCUCCCAUCCGGCUGCGCCUUGGCUGCUCCCAUGAUCCCAUAGCCCCCGCCUUGACCAGUUUCUCAAGCCGGAACCAUUGAUUAGUUUGUGCAGACUGAGGUCACAGCUCGUCGUCUCCUUGAGAUCUGUCAUGUGGACGACCCUGCACAACGCAGUCCACCACAGCAUAUUCUCGUGCAGCGUGCCGACAAGGAAGGCCUACAUCGGUUGGUAUUCCAGAGCGAGACGACCACCCGCCUCAUGUGCCGCUCGGUGUUCUCGAGUACAAGGGAUUUUGGGCCCGGUGAAGCCAAUGACAAUGAACUUGAUCUGACUUAGUUGCUUCUAGUGUUAGGGGUAAACUUGUCAUUUCAUGUGUCAUUUAACACCAUUAGGUCAAAAAAUAGACGGAAGUGUUAUAUUGGGAACAAAAAUUUAAAGUUGGUGUUAGAUAGGGAAUUUUUUUCCAGUGUCAAAUAGGAAAACCAUAUUUAAAACAGUGUUAAUAAGGAAUUCUUUCAUUUCUUUUUGUUUUUUCUUGUUGGAUGAUGACCGUUGUAAUUUCAGGCCAGUUGAUGACUUUGUUGAUUCAAAGCCGGACCCUUCUUGACCCUUCGUUCUAAAACAAAGUGUAUUAUAUUUUUCUUCUGGCUAUGAACUAUUGGUUUAAUGGGAGAUAUACAGAGUAUGGUGAUGGUUAAGUUCAGUCAGAAAAUUCAUAGACUUAAUAUAUCAUGCAAACAUUUAGCUUUAUUUAGACAAAUGCUUCAUUCAGGAACAUCUGUUUAUUAUUUCCAUGUUGCAAUUAGUACUAGUCACACAUGAUGAUGCAUGACAUUUUUAUUUUUGCAACUGCUACAUUGAUCAACUAGCAGGUACCACCGGUAGAGCUAGCUGUCAUGGUAAUGCUAUAGGGGGUGGUGGCGGUGGUUGGGCAUUGUACAGGGAUGUAGAUUUUGCACAUCGAUGCUAGGGCGUGAAGUGACAUCCUCAGGCCCUCAAGUUGUGCUUCCUGUUGUGGUUGGUGUUGUUGUUGUUGCCUGAUAGACUCUGCCACAUUAUGGAUGCCUUGGCAGCGGAAUUGCUCUGAGAUCUGUGCUAGCUGCCGGCAGCAUUGGGACUGCACGUUCUGGCAGCUUGUAGGCUUCUGCAUUGGUGUAUGCGGGAAUGGCACUGUCAUUGGCCUACAUUGAUGUUGUAGGAAUGUCGCACACGGUUUUAACUGCUCCUGCAGCUGUUGUUGUUGUUGUCGCCCCAGUUGUUGUUGUUGCUGGCAUUGUACCGGGACGUAGAUGUUGCACAUAGACGGCAGGGUCUGAAGCAACAUCCUCAUGCUCUUAAGUUGUGCUUGCUGUUGGGGCCCCUUCCAUUGUUGUUGGGGUUGUUGUUGAAUGAUAGCCUCCUCCAUGCUCUGGAUGGCCUUGCACCGGGUUUGCUUUGGGAUCUGCACUAGCUGCCGACAGCAUUGGUGUUGCACAGUUUGGCAACUGCUAUGCUGCUCUCCCUGUGUUUGUGGGAAUGGUGUUCUCACUGGGCUACACUGAUGUUGUACGAAAGCCACACAUGGCUUCAUCUGAUCCAGCAACUGUUGUUGCCCCGAUUGUUGGUGGUGUUGGCAUUGUCCGAAGCCCUUGCUACAAAUGGUUUCCAAUUGAGCAAUGGCGGUGGAUGCUGCAAGGGCGAGGAGAGCGAGGAUGAACAUUGUCUUCAUGGUGGCUAGCCUCAAGUUGGUUUGCUGAUUGUGGUUGUCUAAANNNNNNNNNNNNNNNNNNNNNNNNNNNNNNNNNNNNNNNNNNNNNNNNNNNNNNNNNNNNNNNNNNNNNNNNNNNNNNNNNNNNNNNNNNNNNNNNNNNNNNNNNNNNNNNNNNNNNNNNNNNNNNNNNNNNNNNNNNNNNNNNNNNNNNNNNNNNNNNNNNNNNNNNNNNNNNNNNNNNNNNNNNNNNNNNNNNNNNNNNNNNNNNNNNNNNNNNNNNNNNNNNNNNNNNNNNNNNNNNNNNNNNNNNNNNUGUCGUGGUCUAGUUUGUUGCAUUCCAUUCCUAUAUUACUUUACAAAAGCAAAUGGGUGCUUUUUAAACUGAUCAUCUCGUAUUGUUGUGUUAGGUGGCACCACAAGUCUAAUCUUGGGUGAUCAUCGAAUGUACUUUUCGGCACAAAUCACCUGCAUAUGACUCAUCAAUCAUCACUUUACAUGUCAAGCAUAAUUUGGGUCGCAUAUCUUUUUACGAAACCCAUUCUGUAAGCUUGUACAUGAGUUAGGUACAAAUUAGCUUUUCCAUUCACAGACUCCAUGCUUUUUAAAAUGAUCAUCUCGUAUUAUUGUGUUAGGUGGCACUACAAGUCUAAUCUUGGAUGAUCAUCAAAUUUACUUUUCGGUGCAUAUCACCUGCAUAUGACUCAUCAAUCGUCACUUUAUAUGUAAAGCAUAGUUUGGGUCGCACAUCUUUUUGCAAAACCCAUUCUGUAAUCUUGUACAUGAGUUAGGUAUAAAUUAGCUUUUCCAUUCACACACUCCAUGUUUUACUCGAUUAAUUGUUCCCUGGAACUGAUUUUGUAAUGUUACAUGGAUUGGUAAGAUAAACAUGCAUUACUAGAGCACGGCAUGACUCAUAGGAUGCUCUUUACAUGUCAAGGAUUGCCAUGGAGCUAUGCUCCGAUGUUGUGAAACUGAUCUUGUACAGGAUGUACGCAUGCAUCAUGAGCUAUGAGUUUGUAAUCCUCCAAGGUUGAUAUCUGCUGCUAAGCCCAACCAUACUCAAGCCGCCAAGCCCUUCUUUUCGUCAAAAGCAAAUUCUAUUGUUCACUGGGUUGGGUGGGCCUGAUCUUAACGUUGAAAUGGUCACGAUAUAUACAUGGGUAUAUAUAAGAUCUUUUUUUAGAUGCAUUCAGUCAUUUUGAUGCUCAAGAAGAGAUACCCGAUGUAGUGAAACGUGAAACCUUCAUGUCGGGGUAAAAGAGAAAACGUCGUGUUGAGACGAGGUCCUAACUCGCUUUCUUGAAUAUUUCCAAGGACCUUUCACAUAAGAUUCGAUAAACACAUGCACACAAAACUUCUAGUCGAGGGCACGUCUCGUACUCUGUGAUUUCUCUUUAUUUUUUCUCAAUUUUCUUGUUACAACACUCAUGCACACACCCAUGUAUAUGUAGGACCAAGUUGUACACCUAGCCAGCGGACCUGACCCUAAGCGCUAGACAUGCACGGACACAAACUAAACUGAUGUCUACUAAACAUGCAUAAACCGGCGUAGACUAAACAUGCAUGUAUCUGUGCAUGUACUACUAGGAUAGGACUAUACUACUACUCUUGAAUGGACUCAAAUUUACUUACUUAAUCUAAUUACAUGGCAAUCACUUACAUGUUAAACCAAAAUCAAACACAACUUAGUAGUACUAGCACAUAGGCAAUUUGGAUUACUUGAAGUCUUCAACAUUCACCUCCUAAUCCAAACUUUUGACUCAUCGACUUGGAACCAGCACAUCAUCAAGACUACCAACCAUGCUGCCACAUCUUAGUGUCCUACAUGCAGACCAAAUGCAUGACCUCAUGUAAGAACUUAACUUAACUGAUGCGCAUCCAUCUUCACGCUUGUCUUCGUCUUCUUAUGAGUUGUGACCUUUAUAAUCAUAUGAGCAUCAUGCUAUGUGCGUGUAUAAAUAACAUGUAUCACACCACAAACUCUACAACUCAAAGCAUAUAUUAUCCAAAAGCUCUAAAGAGCAAACAUAAAAAAGUUAUUACAGGCUAGGGGCACAUAACUCAACACACAUAGAAGCACACAACUAAAGCAAAUUGUGUCUUAGUAAAGAAUAAGUUUAACAAACAACCUAAGAGGCUUUAAAGUAAAGCAACACGCUCCCAAGAUACUAGAUUGCAUUUGGGGCCUCCAAGCUACUUGUCAAUAUUUUAUCUCCAUGUAUGAACCAACAUUUGAGAUUGAUGAUCUCCUUUGCAGUGAGUUAAUUAAAAGCAAGUGUGAGUACAAAUGUACUUGGCAAGCCUUACAUUAGAACUAGCUACAUUAUGCUUUGGGUGUCAAGAGAAGGUAUGUGGAUUAGUUUCCAGAAGCGCCAGCUUUAACCUUGGCUACUCUGACCUAGGACUACAAGUAGAUUUGUAACAGAGGUAAGAGAGCACGCAUGAGUCCUUCAUAUAGCUUAAUCAAUACACCAACAUGCAUAAUUCCUCGACUCACCCACGCGGAAGCAAUUCAAGGUGGUAAGAGAGCACACAUGAGUCCAUCUAGCUUAAUCACCACAUCAAUACACCAAAAUGCAUAAUUCCUUGACUCACCCAUGCGGAAGCAAUUCAAGGUGGUAAGAGAGCACACAUGAGUCCAGCAUCUAGCAUAAUCACCACAUCAAUACACCAACAUGCAUAAUUUCUCGACUCACCCAUGCGGAAGCAAUUAUAGAUACUUAGGCUUAAUUCUAAAAAAAAGAUACUUAGGAUUAUCUUGAUAGUUUUUAAGGUAACCAUUAAUGGUGUAUAUGAUCAAGCAUAGAUCAAGUAGUCAAAUAAUUGCGGGCAUGGCUAUUCGAAAAGUUUUAACCCUGCAGGGGUUGAUACGUCUCAAGCGUAUCUAUAAUUGGUUUCUUGUGCCAUGCUAUUUUUGUAUCACUGUUGCAUAAGUUUGGCAUCACUUUUUAUUAUUUUAUUCGACUAACCUAUUAAGUAAGUGCCCAAUGUCAGUACUGCGUGUUUUUGGAAUUUGCAUAAGUAAUUAUUUUUAGGACCAAAAAAUUGAAAUAAGAAUCUUUUUCUGAACUUUCAAGCCAAAAGAGACUUUGAGCUAGAAGAUCACCUGGGGGGGGGGGGCACCAGCCCAACGCAUGGACCCAUGACGCAACCUAGGGUUGGGGCGCGCAGAGCCCCUUGACCUCCUCCCGGCCGCCUCUCGCCCCCCUCGCUCUACAUAUACUAAAAAUGCUUGAAAGAUUUUAACAUUUUUUCUAUCAACGACACUUCUCGAUCUGAAGCGAUCUUCUUCAGCCCUUUUCUGGCACCCUGCCGAAGGGUCGAAUUGAUCCUCGUCAACCUCUCCAUCAUCUUGCUACUCCUAUGGUGAUGCGAUUUUAUAGCCCACUCUCAUGGUUGAGCAUUUGUACCAAUAGCAAUAUGUUUUAUCUCACUCUUUUGAUCAGUUUUCAACCUUGAUUGUUAUCAUGGGCUUGUUAAUGGAGUCGAACUAUGUGAUCUAUCCCUUCUAUUCUCGUUGUAAUGAAUUGGAUUUUGCUCAUGCUAUGAGUUUCUUUAAGUAGGAUCGAAUCUUUCGAGAAACAAUGAGGUUAUAUGAUGCAUAUGUAGUAUAAUUUUCGAAGAUAUCGGUACUCGCAUUGGGGUGACUCUAUGAAUUAUGAUUAGUAUAAUUUUCAGGGUUACCGAGGUGACUUUGGGGCGUGCCCUGUGGAUUAAGAUUAUAAAUACAAAAUUAGAAAUGCGAGGAAAAUAUCUUUCAAAUGAUACAGAACAUUUUUUCAAAACUAAGUGAAACAUUUUUACAUUAUAUAAACAUUUUUCUAAAAUGUGACGAGCAUAUUUUUGAAACACGUGAACAUUUUAUUAUGUCAUGAACAAUUUUAUGAAUGGUAUGAAUAUCUUUUUUGAACGCAAAAACAAUUUUUACAUUACAUAAAUAAUUUUAAUCGUACGUAAGAGCAUCUCCAACAGAAGCGCUAUAUAAGCGAUGCGCGGUAUAAAAGUUGCUUUUAGCGCGCGCGGACCUAAUUUAAAGUCUCCAGGAGCCGCACAAAAAGCGCGCGCGCGCUAUAACUAAUGCAACACGCGCAUUAAAAAGACAUCGCGUGCAACAUAUUUAGUGCGCUCGGUCGCGCGCGCUGCAAACUUUGGGCUGCUGCAGAUGGGACCGCUGGACUCACGCGCUGCAUAUUUUACAGCGCUUGUUGGAGCAAACGUCUUCUAGCGCCCUAAAAAAACUACUUGCGCGCUGUAAACCCAUUUUUUGGGCGCCAGGCAUUGGGCGGCUGUUGAAGAUGCUCUAUGUUUUUUAGAAAAAUCUGUAGAUUAAUUUUAAGAUAUUUAUAUUUGUACUUAUUUGAAAUAAAAAAUCAACGAAAACAAAGGAACGAAGCAAGCCAGCCGCUUCCGUUUUGGGGGACCGAACAUGGCCCUACUAUCUCAGCCCUGUACCGUGCUUGGGCUGGCCCAUGCUAGCAUUAAAGGCCGACACGCUGGCCUAAACUGGAAAAAGUCCACCUCCUCUCAGACGUCUCUCCACCGCCCAAAAAAGUGGGAGACGAGCACCGCCGCUCGCCGACGACCAGCAGGCGGCGCAGAUCCGGAGCCGCUGGUUGAGGGGACGCCGCAGUACGCGCGCACAUGGCCGGGAACCGGCGCCGCCGCCGUCGCGGGAGAGCGCGGCCGCAGCAGGCCGCCGAACCCUCGCCGCCGCCGGCACCAGCCAGCCUCAGCUCCUCCAGGUGAGCACGCUCGCCUCGCCCUUACCCUAGCCUUGCUUAUCUCGUCGAUUUCUCAUUCCAAAGCUUAUUGAACAGAUCUAGCCUAGUACUCCCUGUUGCUGCAUGUCCUGACUCCUGACAUCCUGCGUGAAAUUGUUGUUGGCCACGAGAUCUGUACUGUACUGUACAUAGGGGAACUGGGAACUCUGAACAGUAAAAUUGUUUGCAACUCGUCCAAGAAAUUACACCCUAGAGCGGUUGAACACAACAAUUAUAUACCAUAGGGUGGUUGCACAUUAAGGACAAUACUCUGUUGUACAGAAUAUCAUGCUGUAGGUGAUACUGAUGUAGCCUGUUCUGGUUAAAGUUUAGCAUAUUGAUAUGCGCUUGUUACAAUCGAAUGGGAAACUUAAUUUACUUGUCUGUUCCUUGGCGAUAGUUUGUUCUACAAUAAUUUGCGGGCAGGUGGGCAUUGCAAUCCUAUAUACGCAGCCUGCACUCUGUCAGUCUAUCUGUCUUACUGUAGUAGAAGUUCCGGCAGGAUCUGUUCUCAGAAUUAUUUGACAGUACCUCCCACAAGGCCGUGCAGUCUGUUUCACCCACAACCAGCCGCCCUGUAAACUUCAGAUAACUGACGGAGACAAACCAACCACCACAUCGAACAGCUUCAACCUCCUCUGCCUCAGAACACAGGCUUCUCUUUCUCCAGGUAGAAAGCAAGACCACGCCAUUAUGGUCCCUUGCCAAAGCACCAGCACGUCCCUGCCCCGUAGCCUCAACGAAAGAACCAUCGGUGUUCGUAUUGAAUUAUUGAUAUAUACAUCUCACGAUGGGAAUGAAUUUUGUUCAGUUAAACUGUCAUGCUUUUUUGCCUUAGUGUGUAGUAAGAGCAUAUAUACUGGAAAUCCAAUCCAACCUCCUCUGUCACAUAUAUACCACAUUUCUAAUAAAUUACUAGCUAUAUCUCUGUUAUAUUUGAGUUCUUUCUUCUGACCCUUGAAUUUUCUCCAUGACAGGGAAGUUGCUGUUGCAGCAAGGCCCUCUAAGAAAAUCUGUGAUGCCUCUGGAUCUAUUUCCUCACCUUCGUCAGGAUCUCAUGCCUGGGAAAACCUUCUAGACAGCCUGCUCCACCAAAUCAUUUCUCUCAUUAGCUCAUUCCAUGACUUGCUUGCUUUCCGCGGCACCUGUCACUCAUGGCAUGCUGCAGCCUCUUCCUUCCCAUCUGCAUAUACCUUCAGCUUCCCACCCCUCCACCUCAAACCAGAUGUAAGCCAAGAGAGUUACAACUCUGAUCGCAAAUCGCAGCUUGUUGAUCCUGCUAAGAAAAGUUUAUCCCAUCGUUGUUCAGCGCCUGGAAUUACUCCACAUCCCAUGCGCUAUCUGGGCUGUUCAUAUGGUUAUCUUAUCUUCUCUGAUAGGAGACACUGCCAUCUCGUCGAUGUGUACACUGGCACAAAGGUGAAGCCGCCAAAAUUCCAAUCUGAGAGUAACACUUUGAUCUACUUUGGCAUCCUUACGGCUCCACUAAAUUCGCCCAAUUCACGUCUCAUCCUUUUCUCGAGAAUCUCCAUGCUCCAGUGGCAGGUUGGAACAAAUUCCUGGACAGAGCACCCUCAUGUUGGUGAACUCAUCCAUCAGAUUGUGCUCUUCAAAGGCCAGAUGUUUGCCAUGGACUUUGUUCAAAGGCUACAUACCAUACACAUAGCACCUGAGCUCAGCAUGCAGGAAGUAGCAGUUAUGUGGGAACAGAGCAUGCUCGUAGGCCUGCAUUCUAAGCCAUGGUUGGUGGUCUGUGGUGACAUGCUUCUCUUGGUAGAUCUCUCGGUAAGCAUGGACCAACUGUUUGGCUUUCCUGGCACCUUUCAAGUCUUCCGCCUCGACUUCUCAGUUGAACCAGCUAAGUGGGUGAAGAUGGAUAAGUUGGACAAUUGGGCUCUCUUCCUUACCAAUGAUAGGAGAAACCCUACACUUUCUUGCAUGAACCCUGAAAGAUGGGGUGGAAAGAGUAACUAUAUUUAUGUUCCAACAAAAUCAGAAGAUUUUGAUGAGCCAUGGACUGCAAUAGAGGUUGGACAGCCGGUGCCCAGCUCGACUCACCGUAUGUCAUUCAGUUCCGCAGCCACUGCCCAUUGCAGUCCACUAAAUAGCCUCUGGGUGCUUCCCAGUUUGGUCUACGGGGUUGACCAGUGAUUGCUCAUCGUUGCUUGUUGCAGUUGCAGGGCUUUUCGUAGUCUUUCACAAUGCCAGUCUGUCGGUUCCUGCUUUUAUAUUAUUCAGUUAGCCGCUAGGUUCUGUAACUCCCAUGGUUUCUUGACUUGGCAAAUGUGUUGUGUAGAAAAAUAUUUAUCUGUAUUGUCUCCAGGAAGUGAUUGUCCUGCACUGGCUCUAUGGGGAUUAAUCGAAUUCUUAUGUAGCAGCUUGGUUGACAUUAAUUCUGUGACUGGGCAAGAAAGCACAUUCUGAAUAUGCAAACACUGUUUCGAAUCCAGUAACUCUUUAUAUACAUGUUUGUGGUUGUGUGCUCUUUGAUGUAGUCUCUUUUCAUAUGUUCCUUGUGCCUCUAUUAUUUCUUCUUUCAUGUUUUGAAUUUCUUUUGAUAUAAUGGGAGGCAUACAGUAUAGAGUGAUGGUUCAUUCCAGUAAGAUUCUGCUAAGAUUUCUUCUACCGUACAGAACAUGCAAAUUCGGCCAACAGCUUUAUUCAGGAGCAGAUGUUUGUUAUUUCCAAGUUGCAAUAGUACUGGCCACACAGGGUGAUGUAUCACACUUUUAUUUUGUCACCGCUUCAUCAAUCAGCUGAGCACUGAUCGAUCCAGCUAGCACAGCAGUACAGCACUGAUCUUAGCAGCCACCACCAGCACAGGUAGUGGCCAGGCAUGCUGUAGGGGGGUUGUGGUGCAAUAAUCUGAGAUGUAUGAGCUGCGCAUCGAUGGGAGGGUGUGAAGCACCAUGCUCAUUAUCUCAAACUGAACCUGCUGCAGAGGCUGACCCAAACUCCACCAUGUAAGAAGGUUCAGUGAGGUGAGAGGCUUCUGACAUUUCAUUUAUCAUGUAAAACAUGCAAUUUUAUUCGGACAAAAGCUUUAUUCAGAAACAGAGGUCUGUUGUUUCCAAGUUGCAAUAGUACUGGCCACACAUGAUGAUGUAUGGCACUUUUAUUUUGUAACUCUUCAUCGAUCAACUAAACGGUGAUCGAUCUAGCUAGCACAUCACAGAUCUUAGCAGGCACCACCAGCACAGGUAGCUGUCAUGGGGAUGCUGUAGAUGGCGGGGGUGAUGGUGCUGCACGGGGUGGUGGUGCAAUAUUGUGGGAUGUUCACGCUGCACAUUGACGGAAGGGUCUGAAGCACCAUCCUCAUUAUCUCAACCGGAACCUGCUGCUGAGGCUGGCCGAAACUUUGCCCUUGCUGCUGCUGAGGCUGGCCGAAACGUUGCCCUUGCUGCUGCCGCAUGAUGAUCUGUGACACGCUACAGACGGCCUGGCACCGAGCCUGCUCCGAGAUCUGGGCCAGCGGCUGGCAGCACUGUUGCCGCAUCAACUGGCAACUGCUUGCCUGCCACAUCUGUGACUGGACAUAUGGUGUCUGGAUGCACUGCUGCAAGAAAGCAGCGCAUGUGUUCAUCUGCGGCUGUGGCUGCGGCUGCUGCUGGCAUUGCCCGUAGCCCUGGCUACAGGUAGUGUACAGCUGCGCAACUGCGCUUGUCGCCGUGAAGGCGAGGAGAGCGAGGAUGAACAUGGUCUUCAUGGUGGCUGGCUAUAAGCUUGCUUUGGUGUUUAUGUUUGUGUGAAGGGUGAUGAGGGAGGGUCUUCAUGGUGCAGGCCUAUUUAUAGCUGCCAUGGCAUCAUGUUGUGCAUUGCAUUCCUAGGUUCCUAUGCUAAAGCUUUUGCGUGCUUUUCCAACUGAUCAUCUCACACUCUUGUGUUAGGUGGCGCUACAAGUCCAAUCUUGGAUGGUCGUCAAAUAUACUUUUCAGCACAUAUCGUGUAGAUAUCAGUCAGCUUGCGCCUGACCUCGAUAAUCCAUAUGACUCAUCACUGAUCAUUUUACAUGUCAAGUGUAUAUCUCGAUUGUGUCUUUUUCGCGAAAUCAGUUUUGUUGUCUUGUACAAGUUGUUAGAUAUAAAUCAGAUUGGCAUGUCCAGCACUCCAUCUUACUGUUUUCUGAAAACUGGUUUUGUAUCGUUCUACUAAUUGAUAAUUGGUAAUAUAAACGGCAUCAGCAGAGCAUUGAUGACUCAUAAAUUUCCCUUUACAUGUCAAGGAUUGUCAUGGAGCUAUGCUUUGGCGUGUGAAACUGAAUUUGUUGUUUUUUGUACGCUGAGUUUAAUUGCUUCCUGGAACUGGUUUUGUAGUCUUGUAUAAGCUGGUAGGAGAUAAAAUGCCAUGAGUCAUCAAAUGAGUUUUACUCGUGGGAAGUCUGAUGUAGCAUUUUUGUAGCUUUGGCGAGUGAACCUAAACUUUUUCUUUUUUUUGUAAAAGGUAUGUGUUUUAUGCAUGUAUCAUGAGGAGAGUGGAUUUUUUUAGCUCGAGCUCCAUGCAGGUCUUUUUUCAAAAUUCGGAAAGUCAUAUUUUGAAGUUCCAAAAAAUCUGAAAAAAAUACACAUGGACUGCAUCUUUUCAACAACAACAACAACAACAACAAACAAGUUGGGGUAGCUUGAGCUGAAGAUCUCGCAACCAACUCAUGGUUCUGGCAUAUGGAUAGCUAACUUUCAUGCACCCCUUUCCAUGGCUAGUUCUUCGUUGAUAUUUCAGUCCUUCGGACUUCUCUCAUGUCAAGUUUGGUCUAUCCCGCCCUCUCUUACAUUAUCAACACGUUUUAGCCAUCCUUCUGGAUGCCUGCGCUGAAUAUGCCCAAACCAUCUAAGACGAUUUUGGACAAGCUUCUCUUCAGUCAGUGUUACCCCAACUUCUUUAAUGAAUACUGCACAUGUGUUAGAAAUACAAGGUUUUUUUUUCUACUGCUCACACUAAAAUGUACUCCCUCUGUUUCAAACUACUCGUCGUGGUUUUAGUUCAAAUUUGAACUAAAACCACGACGAGUAAUUUGGAACGGAGGGAGUAUUUUGUCAUGAAAUUUUACAGAGAUGUAUACCAGUGUUCCAAUGUGUCUAUUCUUUGUUCGGCCCAUCAAAUACCUAAUUCCCAAAUUAAGAUGUUCACUAGGAUAAACUAGACCGAGAUUAAUGUUUUUUGUGCAGACCUAGUGUUGUGUUUUUUGUGGUUAUUUCUGACAUGUUAUGGACUUAAAUAGAUGGACAUAGCUGUUGAAACCUGGGGCUGUGACAGGUUUUAGUGAUACCUAGAUAGAUACUUCAUCUGUUUCGGAAUUAGUUGCGCUCAAACGGAUGUAUCUUGACGUAUUUUAGUGCUAGAUACAUUUGCUUGAGCGUCAACUAAUUCCUGAUGGAGGGAGCAGUAUAAAUAUAGAAUUCGCAACACAAGUAAGCUAAACCAGAAUGGAACCCUUUGACUCCGCCCCGAUAAUAAUCUUGCGAACAAGGUGCUUAACCCUUUGCUAUAGAAUUAUAUCGUGAUAUAGGUGACCAUGUACUCCCUCCAUUCCUAAGUAUAAGUGUAUUUUGGAGAUAUCAAUAGGAACUACAUAAGGAUGUAUAUAGACAUACUUUAGAGUAUAGAUUCACUCAUUUUGUUUCGUAUGUAGUCCAUAUUGAAAUCUGUAAAAAGACUUAUAUUUAGAUACAGGGGGAGUAGUUCGCUAGAAAAAUCAUUCCUAUGAAGUUUGGGCUGGACUUGUAUCAAGUGUUGCUUCUCAAUAGAGUUAUAUUCCAGUAUACAUAUCCUCCAUUCUUCUAUCUUGUAUCCAACCUUCCAACCAACGAUGACAAAAUGUGGCUAGUAUGCUUGUUCAGUUUUUGGUACCUCCACGGUUUCUUGACUUGGCACCAAGUGUAUAGAGCACAAGAAUAUUAAUAUAUGUUGUCUCCCGCCCGUGAUUGUGCUGCACAAUGCUCAAUGGCUAUGACAUGUCGGCAAUUAAUCAGCUUCUGAUGUAGCAUUGAGUUUUAUCGUGUGUGUUGGAUAAUAACUUUACGUGUGUCAACAAUGUUAUCGAAUCCAUUAAUAUUUUUAUGAAGCUUGUUCAUGUGUGUAUGUUCCUUGAUCCAGUCUCUCUUCCUACGUAUUUACCGUCCCUAUCUUCAUGUUGUGAAAUUUUGGUUUAAUUGGGAGCCAUGUAGAGUAUGAUGAUUGUUCAAUUCAGUGAGAUGUGUCAUAGAUUUCAUUUGUUUCACGGAAAAUAAACCACCCCUAGAGUAUAAGGUUUUUCCUGAUGGUGUAAAACAGUAAAAUAAAAUAUGUGGGUGUGCCAAUAUCCAUUCAUAUAUACGAAAUAAAAAUACAAACAUGUGGCAUACAAAAAAAAGUAUAAUUAGGAGUGAAAUUAUGAAAAUAUAUCUUAUGCCUUUAGAUAUUAUUCAGUUAUAUCUACUAGGUUUUGUAACUUCCAUUGUUUCUUGACUUUGCAAAUGUAUUAUGCACAAUAAUAUGUAUCUAUAUUGUCUCCAGGAAGUGAUCAUCCUGCAGUGGCUCUAUGGGGAUUAAUCGACUUCUUAUGUAGCAGCUUGGUUGACAUUAAUUCUAUGAUUGAACAAGAAAGCACAUAGUGAAUAUGUCAACAUUGUUUCAAAUCUGCAACUCUUUAUAUAUUGCUCACACAUGUUUGUGGCCGUGUGUUGUUUGAUCUGGUCUCUCUCCAUAUGUGCCUUGUGCUGCUCUUUUACUUCUCCUUUCGUGUUCUGAAUUUAUCUUGAUUUAGUGGGAGGCAUACAAUAGAUUGAUGGUCCAUUUCGGUCAGAUGCUUCUGAGAUUUCAUCUAUCACGCAAAACAUGCAAUUUUAUUUGGACAACAAAUUUAUUCAGGAGCAGAUGUUUGUUAUUUCGAAGUUGCAAUAGUACUGACCACACAAGAUGAUGCGUGGGACCUGUAUUUUAUCAUCGCUUCAUCGAUCAACUGAACACUGAUCGACCUUGCUAGCACAACACAGAUUUUAGCAGCCACCACCAGCACAUGUAGGGGCCACAGUCAUGCUGUAGAGAGGGUGGAGUGAUGCUGCUCCAGGGGGCGGUAAUGCAGUAAUCUGGGGUGUACAGGCUGCACAUUGGCAGAAGGCUGUGAAGUACCAUCCUCAGUAUCUCAAACUGAACGUGCUGCGGAGGCUGGCCGUAACUUUGCCAUGUAAGAAGGUCAAUAAGGUGAGAUACUUCUAUGAUCUCAUUUAUCAUGCAAAACAUGCAAUUUUAUUCAGACAAAAGCUUUAUUCAGAAACAAAGGUUUCUUAUUUCUAUGUUGCAACAUCACUGGCCACACAUGAUGAUGUAUGGCACUUUUAUUUUAUUUUUCACCCUUCAUCCAUCAUCUAAACUAAAUGGUGAUCGAUCUAGUCAGCGCAACACCGAUUUUAGCAGGUACCACCAACACAGGUAGCGGCCAUAGGGAUGUUGUAGGGGGUCUGAAAGAUGGUGCUGCAUGGGGUGGUGGCGCAAUAUUGCGGGAUGUUCACGCUGCAGAC